UCCUCCCCCAGUUUACCUGUCUCCACCUCCACCCUAUCAUCACUACUACGGUUCUCCUUCUCCUCACCACUACUAAGCAAGUGCAUAAGUUUUGAGGUAAUAAUACCUAUCCAAAACUUUAUCAACACAAACUGCCAUGUAUAUCAUGCUAAGGACGUACACUUGAUCCAUGAAAAUGACUAGUAGAAGAUUUUUUUUAAGAACCAAAGAAAUACAUUAUUUUUUCGGUCUGUUUUCAAGAAUUUGAGCAGUAUACAGAUUAAAGAGUGUUUUUUUUUUUGUAAACUUGCUUGUCAACUUAAAAAUGCACAUAGCUGAAAGCCAACUGAAUAUUUGCAGGCAAAGGAGAAGGCAAUCGGUGUUUGAGACCUUCAAGAAGAUGUAGAAGAAUAAGAAUAAAAGCCCAAUGCGAGGAUGAUUCCAAGUUUCUACGUUACCAUUUCUACAUCUAAAUUGACUUUAGCUCCUGAGUUCCAUGUUUAUGGGGUUUGUACCGUUUUACGUACCAUGCAGUACAUGCUUGCAAGGUUUUCUGUCCUGUUGGCAAACUGCAGGUCCAUAUAAUAAAUGAAUACUAUUUACAUUACGACACUUUUCUCUUUUUCUCUUAUAUUUUGUCUUUAAUAUUGUUGAUCAUUUUUUUUUUAUCAAAAGCAUCAAAUGCUUAGGUAAUUUGGUCUAAUGCUAAUUGUUUUACUUUUAUUUUUCACCUACACCCCUUUUCAACUCAAAGGAUGCUAUAGUUUGUGAUAAUUGUUUAAGACCGAAGCAUGAUACUAAUAAAUAUCUCAUUGAAAGUCAAGGAAACUAACAUUAGGAAAAGUUUAAAUCUUGAUUUGAUGAAACUAUUUAUUCGUGGAAUUUAGAGAUACAAAACUCAAAUUGUGACGGUGUUGUUGCUAAAUUAUUAAGGACAUUAUCACCAUUAUUUUUCCCUGAUCACUAGUUUCAACUGCAAUGAUCUCAAUCUUUUUGUGACUAAUUCUUUCCUUAAUAAUUUAUAAAGACAAAACUCACAAAGAAUAUGUGACUAAUUCUUUCCUUUCGUCUUCUAAAGAAAAUGCCAACUGUUAGUUUAUCAAGGGGAAAAAGGAUCGACAUCAGUUAUUAUUGAAACUAGUAAGGAAUAAAUAAUGGUGAUAAUGUCCUUAAUAAUUUAACAACAGCACCAUCAGAAUUUGACUUUGAGCUUCGGUCUUAAACAAUGAUCACAAACUACAGCAUCCUUUGAGUUGAAAAAGGAAGUAGGUGAAAAGAAAAGUAAAAAAUACAAUUAGCAUUCCCUCAAAUUGUAGAAAGUUAGGUAGCAUUAUAGACAAGUUGAUAGCGGCAAUUUUACAUUUCAAACUUCACCUAUUCAAUAACUAAUUCGAUGGCUUGCUACAUGGUCAAUCUUUGGACCCCUUCCUGCCUCCAGAUAUCCCUUUCCUCAAUCAGGGGCUUCUACAAUUACCAGUUUCAAUUGUAUGGUAUAGUGUAAAUAUCAACAAAUUAGAUGUAGAUGCUAACAUAAUAAAUGUGAAUGCUAAGACAGCAACAUACAAUCGAACCUGCAAUUGUAUGAACCCCAAUCUCGCUUCCUAGUCCACCAUCUUUCUCUAGGUAAUAAUCUCCCUUCUAAUUUAUUCACAAAAUGCACCUUUCAUCACCUCCAAUAGCGUCGACAUGAUCUUUACCCUAGAAGACUAUUCACCGACUCUCAAUUGACGUCAGAAAAUCUAAGAGUAAUUCUACUUUACCCUAAGAUUGAUAUCAACAAGACAAGGACAAUUUAGAAUUAUUACACGCCUCUUCUUAAUAGGAAAAAGAAAUAGAGAAGAAAGUCAGGCCAGGUCUAAUUUCUUUUCAAAGGCAAUACAACAUUACGAAAUCAAGCAUUCAUUCAUACAAAUAUUUCAUAGUCACCGGUUUGCUGAGUAGAAAAAUUUAGACAAAAACUUAAUAUUAUAUUGUUUAAGAGUUAACAAUUUAGAGCUUAAUCUCCUUGUACUUUGGAGUUAACAAUUUAGAGCUUAAUCUCCUUGUACUUUGGACUAAACUUGAACGUGAAAGGAAAUCCCAAAACCAUAUUGGGCAUGAAUUCACACUUAAUAUACCCAAUAAAAGAUGGCGACUGGUGAAAGGCAGUGGAGACUGGUGGAGAGAUUUGAGGAAUAGAAGCAGACGGAAAAGCAACAAAUUUUUGCCGAAAAACGGUCACUUUCAUGGUUAAUUUUGCUACUCUCCAAUUGUACUUGACCAAUUACAACAAUUUCAUGGAGUUUGAUACGUGAAAAGAAUUUUUUAUAAAUUUUAUUUUGAUCCAUAAUGUUAUCUUUACAUAUAUAAAACAUUUUACAAUUUUGAUUUUGGCGCAGCUAACUUUUGGUUAACAAAAAUGCUCAUGUUUAAAAAACCAGAAAUAAAACAAAACAAGAAACAAAAGAAAUAAGAGGGUAGCAUAGACAUUUUGGAUUUUUCCGUUAAUUUGGAUGAUUUCCACCCACGUUCUAAUUUAAUCCAAAACACAAAGGAAUUACGUAGAGGUUUUAAAUAAUCAGGGAGCUUCAUGAUCGAACCCCAAACCACGUGAUAGCAUACAAGAGUUCUAUUUCACUAUCGGUAGACAAAGACUUUCUAUGGUUGAUGUACCGUAGGAAAAAAUCUGCCUAUACAACGUGAUAGCAUUUUUUCAAAAACACAAGAUGGAAAAUUGCCCCCUUAAACGUGGAAAUUCAUGAUCUUUCCUCGAACAAAGAAUACUCACGCCUAUUCAAGAUGGAAAAUUGCCCCCUUAAACGUCUAUUUGUCAAUUCUUGAAAAAAGAAUACUCACGCCUAAAACACGGCCUCUUCAUCUGCAGAAUUCUAAAAAGUUACGUAAACUCUAUAAACAAGUUGAUAGGUACAAUCGUACCCAAGAUCAAGUACAGAUAGUUGUACAUUCACUGCUGCAAUAACUAAUCUGAUGACUUACAAACAUAUCAUGGUCAAUCGUUGAAUGGUAAUGAGUCUUUUGUUAUGCAUUAGUAUUAGUGUGUACACUCUAAUAGAUUGAUACUUAUACUCUUUAAAUUAUCAUAAUAAUACCCUUAAUUAACUUUAACUCUUAAAAAGAAUACGUGUUAAUACACGAGAGUGUGUAACCUGAAUUGUUACUUAUACAUUAGUGUGUAAUAGAUAGGGAUGGCAGUGAGGGCGAGUGCCCGCGGGGGGCUCUCGGGGCGGGGGCGGGGGAGAAUUUUUUCCCCCCGUUUAGAAACGGGGCAGGGGACGGGGGAGUAUACCCCCGCCCCAUCCCCCGCCCCGCCACCCGCAAAAAAAAUUAUAUAUAUAUAAUUAUAUAUAAUAUGUAAUUUAAUUAGUUAUAAACUUAUGAUAAUGAUAUUAUUAGUUAGAUGUAUUAUAUAAUGUAUAUUAGUGUAUGUAAUAUAAUUAAUAUUAUCAAUUAUACGAAUAAUUAGACAUGUCCACUAAUAGAGUUUAUUAAUUAGUUAUACUAAAUUUACUAAUACAUUUGUACUAAAUUUCUAAUUACACUUAAUAGAAUAACACUUUUUUCUAAAAAAAAAAGCACAAACACAAUAAUGAAUUAGUGAUUGUAUUUGUACCAAAAGUGAAAACUUAACUAUUUUAGUUGUAUUUAUUUCAUCAUGUUGGAUUGUAUUCAAAUAAUUUUUGUUUGAUUGUUUUUAUGAGUUUCAAUUGUAAAAUUAAAAUGAAUAAUAACUUGAUGAUGUGUUGAUAUUUUAGUACUUGAUUAUUUAUUGAUUUAACUAUAAUAAAAUUUUAUUUUAUUAAAAUUUAACUAUAAUAAAAUUUUAUUAACCAAACGAGUUAUUAAUCCCGCGGGGGCACCCACGGGGGAAGCGGGGCGGGGCGGGGGAGUGGGAGGCGGGGGACGGGGCGGGGGUGGGGGGAGUUGUAGGUAGCGGGGCGGGGGAUGGGGGAGGGGUCCCCCGCCCCAACCCCGCCAUCCCCCGCCCCGUUGCCAUCCCUAGUAAUAGACUGGCAAGCAUUGUGGUGGUCAUUGAGAACUUACUGGAGAAAUAGUCCUAUAAGCUGUUCAAUGAGCAAUCACAACUUGCUAAUUGGAUGACUAAUAUAGCUCUAGCUGUAAUGUUUUAAUUAAAUUACAUCACUAACGUUGGGAUGACUUUUUAACCAAAAAAAAAUGCCUUAGUUCAAGCUUUUCCCUUUAUUGUGCAUUUUUUAAAGCAUUUGAUAGGCACUGCAAAUCUGUCAUUUUGGACAUUUUAUUAUUGACUAACAAUGAAAGCCGUGACGUCUACCCAUAACCAACACAAGAUUAAAUUAAUAUUAGAAAAAAUAAUUGAGUAAUUGGAAAAAAAAAAAGAGACUCAUUUUCAUUGAAACCCACCGACAAACUAAACGUGUCCAUGGCUUUUGAAUAGUGCAUUCAACGUUUAAUUGUAUAGUCCAGUUCAUUGCAGAUUACAUGGAGUAAAGAUUGUGCUCUUUCCUUUUUCACCCCUUUUGGAAUCGAUACUGUGGAGAAUUGGGUUUUUCCCUUCUUUUUUUCUUUUCUUUCCUUCUGUGCUUUGCAAAACAUAGGUAAAAAUAUGAAAUCCGAAGCAUUCUUUAAUUGGGAUUAAGUAUUGUUGUUGAAAUUAAAAAGAAAAAAGAAAGAACAACAAAAUUCCCAAUCUGGGUUGAUUGUUGAGCUCUAGAUUGGUUGCAUCGUGCUUCCAUAGAAGCUCUCUUAGUGUGAUACACUGCUUUCAAUCAGUUUAACACGGGAAAAAAAAAAAAAGAGAUGAAAAGCAAAUUUGGUGGGGAUAAUUUCAGAAACCUCCCCUGAAGAUUUUGACUAUUCUACUGGUCUCCCUUCAGAUUUUAAAAAUUACACUAAUCUUCCUUGAAGUUAAUUAUCUUGUAACAUUUAAAUUCAAUCAAUAAUUUAAAAAAUGAUAUUAUGAGAGAGAAAAUAAUGAUUUUAUCAUUGCCCCCCAUCUUACUACAUUAUUUAAUUAAUUUAAUAGCAACCCACACAUUAAAGAAAAAUAUUAAAAUUUGUUGUUUAUCAUUAAAGAUCAAAUCGCUUAUAACAUCAAAUAAUAGUAUAUUAUUUAUAUUUUUCACUCAAUAUAAUAUCCAAAUUACUCUUUUCAAUUACAUACCCAUUGUUAGACAAUCAACAACAAAUAACCAAAAAAUUUGCAACCAAAAUAUUACAAAAAAAUAAACUUUAACAUAUAAAUAUUCUUAUCAACAUAUUAAAGUUAGUUACUGAAAUUUUUAUGCUGUUAAACUUCACUCUUUUUGGUUACAGAUUUUUUUGAUUAUUUGUUAUUAAUUAUGUUUGAUGAUGGAUUUAUAAUUGAAAAGAACAAUUUGAAACUUACAUUAAGUAAAAUAUAUAGAGUGAUAUACUAUUUUUUAUAACAUAUGUGAUUCAAUCCUUCUUGAUAGGAUUGGUAAUAGAGGUAGAGGGGGGAGCCGGCUGCAUCCGGUCUACUUUUCAUAGAUAGUACAAUAUUGCGAAAUCGAUCGCAUUCACGCAAUAUUAUUUCCAAGUCAUUGCAUGGCUAAGCUGCAAAAAAAGUACGAACACAUGUUAUUAUAUAGCUUACGAUUCAAAACUUUAGAGCAUAACCCUCCACCUAACACAAUUGAAUAAUGAACAUUCACGUUUGUCAAAUCUGUCAAAGCACAGUUUGAGGACAACCCAUUCCAACCUGCAAAAGAUUUUUUACUUUUCUAAAGUUGUUGAGAGCUGUAAAAAGACUUACCAUGCUUGCAUCCUCCGAGCCUUGGGAGUUAAAAAUGAAGGCACUGAGUGCUAUAAAAAGGGGAAUAGAGGCUGCCUAGAAGCAUAUCAGCCUAAAACAAGAAUUUGUAGUUAAGAUGGGAAGCAAAGCAAAAGCAAUGGGGUCUGGGCUGACUCCUCUUCUUGCCACUGUUUUAGUGGUGUUUGUUGCUCUUGGCUUGCCCUCACAAACUGCAGCUGAUGAUCACUACAAGUAUUCAUCUCCUCCUCCUCCUUACCACUAUCCCUCACCACCACCACCAGUGCAUAUACCUCCACCUCAUCCUGUUUACAAGUACAAAUCUCCACCACACCCCCAGUACAAGUAUAAGUCACCACCACCACCUCCUCAUCCGGUAUACAGUCUCCUCCGCCACCACACACCCAGUUUACAAGUACAAGUCACCACCACCACCUCCUCAUCCGGUACCACACCCAGUUUACAAGUAUAAGUCUCCUCCGCCACCAGUUUACAAAUACAAGUCUCCUCCACCACCACCUCCAGUGUACAAAUACAAGUCUCCACCACCACCAGUUUACCACUACAAGUCUCCACCACAGUUUACAAAUACAAGUCUCCACCACCACCCCCAGUUUACAAAUACAAGUCUCCACCACCACCAGUUUACCACUACAAGUCACCACCACCUCCUCCCCCAGUUUACAAAUACAAGUCUCCACCACCUCCUCACCACUACUAAGCAAUUGCUUCUGAGGUAAUAACACUUGUUCAAUAUACCCACUUCUGCAUGAUAAAGCAUAUCUCUAUCAACACAAACUGUCAUGUCUAUCAUGCUAAGUGCCUUCACUUCAUCCACCAAAAUGACUGCUAGAAAAUUUUUUUUAUGUUACCAAAGAAAGGCAUCAUUUUUUCCCUCUGUUAUCAAGAACUUGUACAGUAUAUAGAUUAAAGAGUAUUUUUUUAACUAGCUUAUCAACUGAGAAAUGCAUAUAGCUGAUAGCCAGCUGAAUAUUUGCAGGCAAAGGAGAAGGAAACCAGUGUUUGAGACCUUCUUGAAGAUGUAGAAGCAUAAGAAUUAAAGCCCAAUGUGAAGAUGAUGAUUUCAAGUUUUUCUACGUUACCAUUUCUUUAUCUAAAUUGGUUGUAGCGCCUUAGUUCCUUUGUUUAUGGGAUUUGUAUCGUUUUACGUACCAUGCAGUACAUGUCAUGUUUGUAAGGUUUUCUAUCCUGCCGGCAAACCGCAGGUUCCAUGUAAUAAAUCAAUACUAUUUAUAUUACGACACUUUUCUCUGUUUCUCUUAUAUUUUGUCGUCUUUAAUAUUCUUAAUCAUAUUUUUAACAAAAAUAUUCAAACACUUAGGCAAUCUGGUCUAAUGCUAAUUGUAUGUUUUACUUUUCUUUUUCACCUGCUCCCCUUUUCAACUCAAAAGGAUGCAAUAGUUUGUGAUCACUGUUUAAGACGGAAGCAUGAUACUAAUGAAUAUCUCAUUGAAACUCAAGGAAACUAACAUUGCGAAAAGUGUAAAUCUUGAUUUGAUGCAACUAUUUAUUCGUGGAAUCUAUAGUUACAAAACUCAAAUUCUGACUGCGCCAUUGAUAAAUUAUUAAUGACGCUAUCAUCAUUAUUUAUCCCUAACUAGUUUCGACUACAACUGAACCCAAUAUUUUCCCCAUGAUAAAAGUUUUUGACUAUUUUACUGGCCUCUCUUCAAAUUUUAAAAAUUACACUAAUCUUCAUUGAGAUUAAUUAUCUUGUAACAUUUAAGUCCAAUUAAUAAUUAAAAAAUGAUAUUAUGAGAGAGAAAAUAAUAUAAUUUUAUCAUUGCCCCCCAUCUUGCUAUAUUAUUUAAUUAAUUUAAUAGCAACCCACACAUUAAAGAAAAAUACUAAAAUUUGCUGCUUUUCAUUAAAGAUCAAAUUGCAUAUGCCAUAAAACAUAGUAUAUCAUUCUAUAUGUUUCACUUAAUGUAAGAUCCCAAUUGUUCUUUUCAAUUACAAACCCAUUGUCAAUAACAAAUAACCAAAAAAUUUGCAACCAAAAUAUUACAAAAAAAAACUUCAACAUCAUAAAUAUUCUUACCACCUCUAGUGCAUUCACCCUCAUAAAAUAAUUCAAGACCCUACUGUCAUAAAAUGACUGAUCAACUCCCGUAAACCUAAUUUGACAACAUUUAAAUGGAGAACUUUAGCUAAAAGAAUUAUGGUCAAGCUAAAGAAAAAACCAGUUAUUUUCCAACAUAUGCAAUCAUUGAUCAGGGAAAAAAAAAAGAGCAAAAAGACAUCUUCAAUCAUUUAAUAGCUUACAGGGCAAAUUAACCCCUAAGCGAAAACUGGUUGCUCUAGAAUCAAAAUUUUACUUUAGUUACCCAGGCAACUUUUUUGUUGCUUUUUUUUUUUUUUUCCUUUAGUUUUGCCCCCUCUGUCAAGCUUAUAAAAUUAUUAAGAUAAUAAAAGUGCCUUGAAUAGUAUUAAUAUAUCCAUUGACUUGAGCUGUCGUCAGUUUGCGAUUCCAUGAGGCCUUUUCAAAGUACUCAGAAAAUGGGGAGUCAUGAAAUCCAUUUGUUCUAUUCAUUGCUAAGAUGCUUUUCUCUAUAAAGAGACUUCCUAACGAAAAUACUUUGUAGAUUUCUUUACUCCAAGUGGUGCAUGGAAAAUUAAUAUUUUCAAUUAUCAAAUAAAAUUCCCUUUUUUCGGCGUAGAUUUCAUCCAUCCAGCUGUUAACACAUUCUAUAAAUCCGAAUUGACUAAUCUUUUCGUUUCCAUUUUCCAACUUGCGAAUACGGCAUAUAGUGUCUGCUAAACACUAUAUAUUCUCUGCCAAAUAUGAAUACAUAUCACUUUUCUGAGCAAGUGCAGAGUCAUUAUCAUUUUUAUUCCCACCUAACAAAUUAGGGAUAAAAAAGUUAAUAAUCUUUACAUGCUAUCAGGUCACAAGUUAAUAAUCUUUUAAAGAACAUGUUAAAUUAAUUUAUUGGUAUGAAUAGUAGUCAAAGAAGUAUGUUAAAGUUAGUAAUCUUUAAAAUAAUAUGUUAAAAUCAUUCGUACAAAUUAGUCAGAGAAGUAGCAUAAACACCGCGAUGCAAUUAAUACUUUCAAUCUCAAGGUCUCUAUUAUGGAAAUUUGCAUCGGUCAAUAUACACUUGGCAUAAUAUAAUCUCCCAACUCAUUUCUUUACAAAUGCACCUUUAAUCACCACCAAAAGGUGUGGACAUGAUCUUUACCCUAGAAAACUAUUCACCGACAGGCAAAUUGACGUCAGAAAUACUGAGGAAUUCUAGUUUCCUUCGGGUUCAUGCCAUGUUGUAUCCUUCAACUGUAACUCGAUUUCUAAGCUGUAAUUUGUGACAUAAUAGUCCUUAAACUAUGAAACCCUUCUUACUUAAUUACAAUGGUUAAUACAAUGCCCGUGACUAGACAAGUAUGAAGCAACCAUAACAGAAAAAAAAUCCAAAAUUAGAGAAAAGAAAGAAGUUUCGCGACCACCACCAGUUUACAAGUCACCUCCACCACCUCCUCCAGUUUACAAGUCACCUCCACCACCUUACCAUUAUUCCUCACCACCACCUCCAGUGCAUUCACCCCCACCACCACCAGUUUACAAGUCUCCGCCACCACCUUACCAUUAUUCCUCACCACCACCUCCUGUGCAUGCACCUCCACCACCAAUUUACAAGUCACCUCCUCCAGUUUACAAGUCUCCACCACCACCUUACGAUUAUUCCUCACCACCACCUCCAGUGCAUUCACCCCCACCACCACCAAUUUAUAAGUCUCCCCCACCGCCUCCCCCAGUAUAUAAGUCACCACCACCACCUCCUCCAGUAUACAAAUCACCUCCACCACCUCCUCCAGUUGACAAAUCUCCACCACCACCAAUUUAUAAAUACAAGUCUCCUCCACUACCUCCUCCAGUGUACAAGUCAUCACCACCACCUGCUUACAAGUCUCCACCUCCUCCAGUUUACAGUUCCCCACCACCACCAAUCUACAAGUCUCCACCUCCACCCUACCAUUACUACUACAAUUCUCCUCCUCCUCCUCGUCACUACUAAGCAAUUGUAUCCAAGUUUUUGAGGUAAUAACGCUUAACCAAUAAAUUAACUUUCGCAUGAUAAACCUUAUCUCUAUCAAGACAAACUGCCAUGUGUAUCAUGCCAAAUACGUACACCUAGAUCCAUGAAAAUGAAUGGUGAGGAGGGCCAUUUAGGCUCGGAGCGCCCUAGGCCUAGUUCCCCACCAUUUCCUGAAGUGCCGCCUCGGGUAUUAUCCUGGAAGGCGAUCGCGGCCCAUUUACCACCUCGGCUACAAUGUCAGGUCGUAACACCGAGGUGGACAUUGAAUGACAACUACGAAAAGGGGAGAUGUGAUCUCUGACACCUGAGCAAAGGCUGCUCUGACCCGCCGCCUGAAUCUGACAGAAUGUCCCAUCACGUCUCUUCAUGGAGACCGGUCAAGUCCACCUGAUCCACUGACUAUCUCAGAUCUUUUGGGACCCGUGCAAACAUCUCCUCUCUCCUAUCAGUCCCCUAUAAAUACACGAUACUUCUACUGAAAAAGGAGAUGACCAAUUUCUGGUAAAACACACUCCACUCAUUAUUUACUUCUCUAUAUCCGAACUGACUUAAGCUUCGGAGUUAUACCGGGGGAUCCAGCCCCUUUCUUAUCCAAGCAGGUGACUUCGUCCAAGAGAGUUGCCCAAGGUAAAGAUAUUCUUCCAAUUGAGGUGACUCACUCCUGCGGGUCGAAAAUCACCUCUUCAAUUGGCGCCGUCUGUGGGAACCGCAAAGAUAUUAGAAGAUGAAGCCUGCGCGUUCUAGAAGCAGAAAAGCUCUCACUAUCGAGGCUGGGCAAAGCAAUGCAGCUCAACAAGAAAAUAUUUCUGAAGGGCAGGAGUCCCCAAGGACUCAGCCCGCAAACGAAAAAGCCAUAACCCGUAUGGCCGAGUUUGUGACCGAGAACCCCAACAUCUUUGAAGAGUUGGGAAGAUACCUGAAGAGGCAAGGCAAACAAAAGGCCGAGUCCUCUAAAAGGAUGUCAGAUGGGUCUCUUGAGGACUCAUCUGAGGAGGAGUCGGAUGGAAGGCACUUAAGCCGAAGUGCCUCAAAGCGAGCAUUUUCUAAGGCCACUUCUAAGGUAGCCUCCCUGACCAAGGCGUUUUCCCGAGGGCUCUUGGGCCGACGACCCGAGGAAGAACCUCGGCCCUUGGGAAUACCCGGGGUGGACUGCAUGAGGGCUCCACCGUUCACGGAUGAUAUAAACGAGGAAAGGCUUCCUCCCAAUUUUAAGCUCCCCGCAGUACAAUCUUACGAUGGCCGAGGUGAUCCCGAGAAUCACAUCCAUACCUUCAUCUCGGCCUUCCAAAUAUACUGCAUCCCAGACCCUGUCAUAUGUCGGGCCUUUCCAGUAUUCCUCAGAGGAACUGCUCGAAAAUGGUUCUGAGCUCUAGAACCUAGGAGCAUUUCGACCCUGGGUGAAUUAGUGGAGAAGUUUCUCCACCGAUUUGUCUCCUCCCGACCUACGACUAGGACCUCGGCUUACCUGCUCACCGUGCAGCAGAACCCGGGAGAGUCACUCCGGUCGUACGUCCGGAGGUUCCAUGAGGAAAGCGUUCAGAUACCUGACCCCAAUGAGCAGGUAACCCUCGCUGCCUUUACCCAUGGACUCGUUGCCGGGGAGUUCAAUACGGGGAUCCAUAAAAAAUACCCCCGCACACUGCAUGAAUUGUGGUUGAAGGUUGAAAAGGGCAUACAGGCCGAAGACCUCCAUCGCAUGAAGAAAGAGGUCCAAGCCACCCGUCCAAGGGCUGAGCCCAGAAAGGGAAAAGACGCUGGCCGAACUGAAGUAGGGUCGGGAAGUGGCUUCCGAAGUCCUGGCCGAGACCGCCGCAGCGUGUUCGACAGGAUAUCCAAGGGGAAGUCACCUAUUCCCGAGUCCGAGUUGACUCCUUUAAAUACUACCCGAUCUCACGUGUUGUCCGUGAUGGAACAAAACAACCUCGGCAAGGGCCCGCCGAGGAUGUUUGGAAGCAGAGACAAGAGGAACUCGAACCUCUACUGCUUGUAUCAUCGUGACAUUGGUCACGAAACUGAGGAUUGCAACGAUCUCAAGAAGGAGAUCGAGAACCUCAUUAGACGGGGACACUUGAAACAGUUCAUCCGCAGAGGUGGAGGUCACCAACGUGACGAAAACCGGCAUGACAAAUGAGGUGACCAACGCCGAGAUGAGCGGCGGAGCUCCAGAAGCAGUUGCCGACCUCCUGAGGAUCCCAGGGAGACGAAAAGGCCUCCCCCAGACGGAUCUUCGGGACAUGGGCCAACCAUUGCCCGGGUCAUUAACACCAUUGCCGGAGGUCCGACGGGAGGGGACAGUCAGAACUCCCGGAAGAGAACCUAUAAGCAGGCUAACCCGGAUCAGGCCGAGUCGAGUUCUCGCCUGUCCGAGGUGAUCACCUACGGGCUCAGUGAUCCCAUCCCAGCUGCAUCCAGCAGUCAUGAAACCUUGGUGAUUGAAGUCCUCACCAAUAACUACAUUGUGAAAAGGUCUACAUAGACCCGGGAAGUUCAGUUGACGUCAUGUACCUCCGUACCUUUGAGAGCCUUAAAAUGGCUAAGGGGUGCAUGACCCCGCUGAGAACCCCUCUUGUAGGGUUCGGGGGACACGUGGUGCACCCCGAAGGGAUGGUGACUCUGACAGUGACCAUAGGGCAUCACUCUCGCUGUAGAACCGUCCCUGUCAAUUUUGUGGUGGUUAAGGCUGACUCCCCAUACAACCUACUUUUAGGUCGGCCUACGCUCAAUGCCUUGCGGGCGGUCUACUCCACCUACCACCUGAGCUUCAAGUUUCCUACCCCAGCAGGGGUGGCCGAGGUCAGCAGCGACGUCUGUGCUGUCCGGGAGUGCUACCUCGCCACCCUACAAGCAGCCUCCCCGUCUACCUCCGGUGCGAGGUCCGAGAAGAGGUCAAAUAUCCUCUCAAUAGAUAGCAUCGAUCCUCAGUGAGCUGAGAAGGUCCCGAGGCUGGAGACUGGGGAUGAGGUGGAAGAGAUUCCCCUGGACCCCACGAAACCUGAUCAGACAGUUCGCGUUGGUACCCGAUUGCCCGGUCCUAUCCGAAGAGGUAUGAUGGACCUCCUCAGGGAAUACCGGGACGUCUUUGCUUGGGCCGCCGAAGAGGUCCAAGGAGUCCCGCACCAUCUCAUGAUGCAUGACUGAACGUCGACCCCCAAGUCCGUCCGGUCAAACAGAAGAGAAGGCACAUCGGCCCUGAGCGCAGCCAAGCUGUUGGUGAGGAAGUGGACAAGCUUUUACCCGCUAAAAUAAUCCGAAAAGUCCAAUACCCGAUCUGGUUGUCUAACUCGGUCAUGGUCAAGAAGGAUACGGGGGCUUGGAGAAUGUGCGUCGAUUUUACCGACCUCAACAAAGCCUGCUCCAAGGAUUGCUACCCCUUGCCCAAAGUCGAUACUUUGGUAGACUCAGCAAUGGGCUACGAGAUCCUCUGUUUCUGGGAUGCAUUCAAAGGCUAUCACCAAAUUGGGAUGAGUCAAGAAAACCAGGAGAAAACGGCCUUCUACACCGACCGCGGCACGUACUGUUAUACUACCAUGCCAUUCGGGUUGAAGAAUGCCGGAGCCACUUAUCAACGCUUGGUCAACCAAGCAUUCAAGUCUCAAAUCGGCCGGAAUGUUGAGGCCUAUGUAGAUGACAUCCUCCUCAAAAGCCAGACGAACUCCACCUUCCUGGCCGACUUGAAGGAGGUCCUUGACAUCCUGCGGAAGGUGAAAAUGAUGCUGAACCCCAAGAAAUGUGUUUUUGGGGUCACCUCGGGGAAAUUUCUAGGUUACCUCGUCUCAAGGCGAGGUAUCGAAGCAAAUCCGGAUAAGGUGCGAGCCAUCCAGGAGAUGUCUCCACCCCGGUGCGUCCGCGAUGUCCAAAGGCUGACAGGGCGAUUAGCCGCCCUGAAUCGGUUCUUAUCGCAGUCGGCAGCUAAAGCACUGCCCUUUUUCAAAGUGUUGAAGAAAGCUGACCAUUUCUCCUGGACGGAAGAGUGUCAACAGGCGUUUGAGCAGUUGAAGGAUUACCUUCACUACCUUCCAACGCUCACCUCACCUCGUCCGGGGGACAAAUUAAUCUUAUACCUUUCUGCUGCGGCCGAAGCGGUGAGUGCCGUGCUGAUAAGGAAGGAAGGGGUCCAAAUGCCCGUCUACUACGUUAGCCGAGUCCUCCGAGGUCCAGAGACCAGGUACACACAAGCAGAGAAACUUGUGCUAGCCCUGAUCCACGCCGCCCGCAGACUCAAGCCCUACUUCCUAGCUCACCACGUCUGCUUGAGGACUGAUCAACCACUUCGGCAGAUUUUGACACGACCAGAGGUUUCGGGACGUCUUACCAAAUGGGCCAUUGAGCUGGGGGAGUACGACCUAACUUAUGAGCCUCGCACAGCGAUCAAGGCCCAGGCUCUCGCAGACUUCGUAGCCGAGCUCACCUUUGACGAGGUGCAAGGAUCCGUCCCGGCUGCCACAUCGGCCACAGUUGAUGUGGCCACCACUGGGCUCCAGCGGUGGAUCCUACACGUGGACGGUUCGUCAACAGUGAGGGUAGUGGAGCAGGCUUGCUCCUCGAAGACCCCCAAGGAGAAAUAUGCUAAUAUGCCUUAAGAUUUGACUUCGCUGCUUCAAACAAUGAAGCUGAAUACGAAGCCGUCAUUGCUGGACUGCAGCUAGCUCGCAAGCUCGGGGCCGCACACAUCUUGGUUUAUAGUGAUUCCCAACUCGUCGUGUGCCAGAUAUUAGGUGAGUACGAAGCCAGGGACGAGGUGAUGCAUCGUUACCUCUCCAAGGUCCUCCAGUUGGCGACUCACUUCGAGUCUUUUGAAAUUCAAAGAAUACCGCUAUCGAAAAACAGAAGGGCUGACGCCCUCUCCCGGCUUGCCUCAACCUCUUUCUCUGACCUGAACAAGACGGUUCUCGUUGAAGUUCUAGCCGAACCAGGAUAUGUAGCCGAGGUAGUAUACCCCGUCUACCCUGGGGACACCUGGAUGGGUCCCCUGACUCGAUUUUUCAGCCAGGGUGAGCUCCCCGAAGACCGAGCUGAGUCACGGAAGCUCCAACGAAAAGCAGCACGGUACAUUCUCCGACAAGGCCUUUUAUACAAAAGGUCUUACCUCGGCCCUUAGUUGCGAUGUAUCACGCCCGAGGAAGGCCAGAGAAUCCUCCAAGACAUACAUGAGGGGCUCUGUGGUGCUCACGUCGGCUACAGAAUGCUGGUAAAAAAGGCUUUGUUACUUGGGUAUUUUUGGCCCACUAUGAGGAUAGAUGCCCAGGUCAUGGUCCUUUGCUGCCCCUCCUGCCAGCAUCACGCUCCUGAGCACCACCAGCCGACCAAUUUAAUGAUCCCUAUCACCUCGUCAUGGCCAUUUGAGCAAUGGGGAACGGACAUAAUUGGCCCCUUUCCCAGAGCUCCAGGCAAUUAUACCUACGUGGUGGUAGCAGUGGACUACUUCACCAAAUGGGUCGAAGCUGAACCCCUAAAAAAUAUCACUGGUGCGGCAGUCCAGAAAUUCUUCUGGAAGAAUGUGGUUUGCCGCUUCGGCCUACCCCGGGUGAUCAUCUCGGAUAAUGGCCGACAGUUCGCCGAUAAUCCUUUCAAGGCCUGGUGUGAGAACCUCGGGGUCAAACAGCAUUUCACUUCGGUGGGACACCCCCAAGCCAACGGACAAGCCGAAAACUUCAAUCGCACGCUCCUCCAUGGCCUCAAGACCAGGCUCCACCAGGCUGGAUCGUUUUGGAUGGAAGAGCUCCCCAGUGUGCUGUGGUCCUACCGAACUACGCCGAGAUCAGCAACCCAGGAAACCCCGUUUUCCUUAACCUACGGGUCAGAAGCUGUUGUUCCAGCCGAAUUCAUCACCCCGAGUCCACGAAUGGCCGCAUAUGCUGCCGAAGUCAAUGAAGAAGAACGGCGAGUUGACCUCGACCUCGUCGAAGAGAAGCGUGAUAUGGCCGCGGCCAAAGUUGCUGUUUACAAAAAUAUCGUAGCUGGCUACUACAACGCUCGGGUUAAACAUUUGCGGUUCAGUCCGGGAGACCUGGUGCUCAGGAAGAACUCAGUCAGCCGGGCUGAACCUCAGGGUAAACUAACCCCCAAGUGGGAGGGACCAUACCGUGUUGUUGAGUCCAGCCAAAAUGGAUAUUGUAAAUUGGCAUACCGAGAUGGGUCUCUGAGUGCCCCGAACUUGGCAUGCUGAAAAUCUUAAGUUGUACUACCCUUGAGGGUAUGUGCUUUUAAUCUUGAGUUAUUUCACACUUAUUUUCAUUUCAUUAUAAGUGAAAAAUAAGGGGACAAAGUAGCAGUAAAGAGGAAAACCGAAUUUAAUUAAAAAGAAAGCAAGAAUAUGAACUCAAUUCCAUUGAAUUACAUAAAAGUAGAAAGCCGAGGUCACCUUUAAUUAGGAAGAAAGCAAGAAUAUAAACUCAAUUCCAUUGAAUUACAUAAAAGUAGAAAGCCGAGGUCACCUUUGACCUCGGCCUACAAUGACAAAAAAAAAAACAAGUGCCUCUAGGCACUCCCUACCCUGACAUCCUGGCCCCCCGUGGUCGCGCCACCCGUUUCGGCACCCUGUCCACCCUCAGCUCCUCCACCGGCCUGGUCGUCUUCAGUACCAUCUAGUUCAAACUCCUGGAGCCAUUUGUUGAAUUCGGCUCGGACUUCGGUUAGGUCUUUCUCAGUCCGGAUGCCCUCAGCCAUGCUGUCGCAUAGCUCCUUGGCAUCCUCGUUAUAGUGCGAAGUGCUCUGAAGGGACUCCAGUUGUUCAGAGGGAAGAAAGGAUGCCGCGUCAUUAAUAGCCGACGUGUACCCGAACAUGAAGCUUGGCCGGGUGAGCUCGCCGAGGUCACGGAUGAAGGACUCUGACGUCCGGAAGGCUUCCACAGCAGUGACCCCGGCCUUGUCCAUGGCCUCCCUGUUUGACUGUUCUUCUUGGGCCCUCCUUUUUUUCUCCUCAUCAAGAGCAGUCACCAGGGAAUUGUUCGCGACCUCGGCCCUUUUGUUAGCCGCCUUGGCCUUGUCACGCUCCAACUCGGUUGCCUUCAGUUUUUCUUCCAACUCGGCAAUUCUCUUCUGGAGCUCGGCAGGAGGCUCAUAGUUUUCCAUGAACUUUCCAUACCGUUGAAUCAUCUCGACAAAAAAAGCCGUGGUAGAGGCCCAUGACACCGAGGCGCUCUGCAUCAACUCCCCUGCGGAGAGCUUCCUAGCAUAAGUGCUAUCUCGUGGCAGCACUGAAUGCACCAAGAGCUCCUGAGCGACCAAAGGGUUCUUGCAGCGAUCGUUGAAAUUAAUCUCCCACUCUGGACACCAGUGUGAUCCGGGGUGUCUCUUGUCCUCCUCAGCUGCCUUGAAAGGCACAUGAUGGAGUUUGAACAAAGAUGACCCCGUGACGGGGUUCUCCGGAAAUAUGGUCACACCCUGACCCCGGGGGGGAGUGGCAAUCGUGACCCAGCGAGAAGGGAUUCCCACCGGAAUUGCCGAGGCUCGGGAACCUCCCGGAGUGGCCGAGGUGUGCGAGCCCUCGCCCACGAUCACCACGGCAGGCUCGCGGUCGCCCGACGCCGCGGUGGUUUUCUUAGCCGGCCUGGAAGAGGACCCUGCAGUGUCCUUGCGCUUUUUGGGAGCUCUUUUGACCACCUCGACAUCUCCCGAGGUUAUCAGGUCGAAAAUCUUCGUCACUGCAAAGUAGGAGACGAAGUCAGUUAGAAUUCAAGAGGGAUAAACUAAAAGGGAAGAAAUGGAAAAAUACAAAGUCUGUGAAGCCUAGUCGAGAGUAAGACAGGCUGGUCAGAGCUCGUCAAGGCUCAACUGAUCCCGCCUUCCACGAGCACCACUUCGGGAAAAUCCCAGCAGUUUAUCCUGAGGCCCGACCCCGUUAACUUCUGGAAGUUACGCUCUUCUAACUUCCCUGGAGAUAUCUCCUUGAUCGAGGUGGGAGGCCUCCACCAGAAUCCGCGAGGGAAGUCAUCGGCCGAGACGAAGAAGAAGUUUUGCUUCCACUCCUUUAUUGAGUUCGGAGCAUCAACCACCAACUUCGGAACUUUGUUUCCGAAGUAGAACCAUCCUUUUUCACUUCUGCUGUUCUUGAGUGAGUAACAGCGGCGAAAGAGGUUGACCUAAGGUUGUAUCUCCUGAUGUCGGCAAAGUAGCUGGAAGCCAACGAGAAUGCGAAUAGCGUUAGGGGUGAGUUGAGUGAUUCUCACCCCCCAGUACCUCAGGCAGUCCCGAAGAAACCUCGUCGUGGGCACUCUGAGUCCGGCCUCCAGCUGUUCCUGAUAGAUAGUCACCUUGCCCUUUGGUGGCAGUGCGGCUGACUGAUGCGGUUGGGGUAUGUAAAUACUAUAAUCCCUUCUCCAGGGAUACCUGCGGACCACCUCGGCUAUUGAGGCUUGUCCCAUACCACUACUGAAGAACGGCAUCUGGCCGUAGUCGAGAGUUGCCACGUUUGGAGGAGUGGAAGGUUCUUGUACUCCCUCGUCUCUAGGGAUCUCAAUCCCGAGGUCAUCGUUGUAUAGGACCUCGGGCUGGACCUCGAUCUCCUCGGGCUGCACCUCAACCGCCUCAGCUCGGCGUGAUGCCUCGGCACCUCCACCCUCAGCUUGGUGAGAUGCCUCAGCACCUCCGCCCUCGGACGCGGUCCUUUCCUGGGAGGGGUCAGGCCUCUCUGCCUCAGUGAGGUCAGGUCUCACUGUCUCUUUGUGCGUACGAGCUGUUCUAGCCAUUGUAUCAGAAGGGGAAGAAGUGAACUUACUUAGAAUCUGCGACUGGAAGAAGAUGCCGAAGUAGACGUGGUUUAGAAAGGUUGCCGAAGUGAAAAGAGAAAGAAACAGAGUUCUGGGGUGAUUCUUGAUUUUUGGUGAAGAGUAAAACGGUGAAAAAAGACCACUAUUUAUAGGCCACCAGGGUGAAACCCAAGAGACGGCACCCUCUCUCUUCAUUAAUGGGAGGACUGUUCGUCUGCCAACACAGCUGACAGCCGUCCCUUCAGUUAUCACUCAGUCCCAUCUAUGCGGUCAUGACGUGUCCGUGUUCCGUGUUUUAUACGCUUCUCAGCUUCGGGAAGUAACGACCACGGCGGAUGCCCAUCUCGCCCUUCUCAAAGCUUGGGGGGCUUAGUGAGGAGGGCCAUUUAGGCUCGGAGCGCCCGAGGCCUAGUUCCCCAUCAUUUCCUGAAGUGCCGCCUCGGGUAUUAUCCUGGAAGGCGAUCGCGGCCCAUUUACCACCUCGGCUACAAUGUCAAGUCGUAACACCGAGGUGGACAUUGAAUGACAACUACGAAAAGGGGAGAUGUGAUCUCUGACACCUGAGCAAAGGCUGCUCUGACCCGCCGCCUGAAUCUGACAGAAUGUCCCAUCACGUCUCUUCAUGGAGACCGGUCAAGUCCACCUGAUCCACUGACUAUCUCAGAUCUUUUGGGACCCGUGCAAACAUCUCCUCUCUCCUAUCGGUCCCCUAUAAAUACACAAUAUUUCUACUGAAAAAGGGGAUGACCAAUUUCUGGUAAAACACACUCCACUCAUUACUUACUUCUCUAUAUCCGAACUGACUUAAGUUUCGGAGUUAUACCGGGGGAUCCAGCCCCUUUUCUUAUUCAAGCAGGUGACUUCGUCCAAGAGAGUUGCCCAAGGUAAAGAUAUUCUUCGAAUUGAGGUGACUCACUCCUGCGGGUCGAAAAUCACCUCUUCAAAUGGUAGAAAGUUUUCUUAAGAACCAAGAACAGCAUUAGUAUUCCCUCUGCUUCCAAAAACUUGUGUAUUAAAUAGAUUAAUGAAUUGUUUAACAUGCUCAUCUACUUGAAAAUGCACAAUACCCAUAACCCACUGAAAUUUUUGCAGGAAAAGGGAAAGAGAAUCUGUGUUUGAGAGCUUCAUGAAGAUGUUGAAGAAUAAGAAUAAAAGCCCAAUGCGAGGAUGUUUUCAAGUUUUUCUAUGUCCACUUUAAUUUGUAAAUUGAAUUUUACAACUCAAUUAAUUCCUUGUUUGUGAGGUACGUAUUGUUUUACGUACCAUGCCGUACAUGUUUGUAAGGAUUUCUAUCCUAUUGGCAAAAGUCGGUUCCAUACAAUUAAUCAAUUCAUUUCACUUCUAUUGGCUCUACUAUUUAUGCAUGUUACGACACUCUUUCCCUUAUAUUUUGCCUUUAAUAUUAUGAGUCAAUAGUAAUAAUGGGCCUUUUUCUUAAAAUUAUACUAUUAUACAUAGGUAGUUUGGUCUAACGCUAAAUUCAUGUUUGUCUUUCUUUUAUUCCCUUUACAUCUCAAAGUAUACUAUAGUUUGUAAUCAUUGUGGUGAUGAUAUUACCAGCUGGUACUUAUAGUUUAAGGCAGAGACAUGAUAUUAACAACUAUCUCAUUGAAACAUAAGUCAAAAUCAUGACAAGUGUGAGUCUUGGUUAAUGCACAAUUUGUUAGUGGAAUUUAUAUUUAUAAAACUCAAAAAAAAUUUUUGACAAUGCUAUUACUAAUUAAUUAAGGACUUCAUUGCUAUAAUUUAUCGCUUACUAGUUUAAACUAUAAAUGAUCUCAAUACUUUUCUCCAUGAUGUCGAUUUCUUUAGACUACGAAAGGGAAAAAUUAGUGACAUAUCCCUUACUGAUUACAACAUCAGCAAAAAUUAGUUAUAAACUUUUCCGGUGGUUUUAAAUCCCUCGGGCACUAAGGUUUUUUGCACAUCGAGUGAAUUAAGGAACAUAGGCAAUUCGUUCUGCAUACCAAGUCCUUGUUUAAGAUGCACGUACUAAAAUGCAUCCACUUCAUUAAUUUGGAAAAUUGCCAUAGUUUUUUUUAAGCAUUUUGAUUUUUUACAUGAUUCAAAAUUUUCUUAUUGGAUACAAUCACUUUGUGUCAAGAACACAUUUUCAAUCAUCUUUUUUAUCUUCUCAAUAAGAAAAUAAAAAUUUAUUCAUGCUUUUCUAACAUAUCCAAUCAUUGAUCUGAAAAAUAAAGAAUUAAAAAAAAAAGACAUUUUCAAUCAUUGCUUACAGGGCAACUUCCCCAUGUGAACCUCUUCAAACAAAGCCAAUAAUAUGAAGGAACAUCUAAAUACACUUUUGCCCUAAAGGCUGGUUGCCUUGGGGUCAAAAUUUAACCUUCGGGAGUAUAAUUACCCGCCAAAUUUAUUAUUUUUUAUGGGUAUAUAGUUCCAAUUUUGCCUCCUGUUAAGCUUAUAAAUAUAUUACGACCCAGAAAAUAAAGGAAUCUUGAAUAGUAACAUGUCCAUUGACUUGAGUUGUCAUCAAUUUGGCUACUUCGAUUCCAUGAGGCCAAUCCAAUUCACACUAGCUAGAGAAAAUGGUGAUAAAGGCACUUAGAAAUUUAUAUGUAAUAUUGAUUGGUAGUAACUGAUAAGUAUAUAUUUUACGUGUUUUAAAUAUGUUUUAUUAGUUAGUUUUGGUGUGUUUUAACUACUUUUAUAACUAAUUAACUAGGAAUCUAGUGAAAAUAUGCAUUUUGUGGUUUGAAGUGUGAAAAUUGUAUUUCUAUGGAUUUUAAUGGUGAAAACUUCAUGUUUUUGUAGGUUUAAUGAUUCAAUCAUCAAAUGACAUGAUUUGAGAAGAUAAUUAGAUGAUUGAUGAUGUUUUGAAGUGAUAAAAAGAGAAUACAAAGUGCAAGAGAGGAAAUGCAAUCAAGAAUAAAAGAAGAAAAUUUUUGUAGCUUUGACAUAUUGUGGUAUUUUGGCAAUAUAUUGAGCUACAAUGAUUGGAUUAAGGUGAUUCUUAAACCAUUUGAAGCUAAGAUAUAGAUCUACAUUUGGUAUGAAGGCAUCGAAACCCAUGUCAGUCAUUUUCCUUGUCAAAAUGUUGAAAUACAGAAGUGCAACUCUGUUCUCGAAAGCUAAAACAGAGCUCUGGCUAGUCGAGGGUAUUUUCAUCAUUUCUUAGUCCACAGAGCUCCAAAUGAGAUGAUUCUUAAGGCAUUAGAACCCUAACUCAAAGAGCUACAACUUUCAUAUUUUGUACAAGAGUUAGUUCGGCCUCCAUCAUUCAGAAAAUAGUAGUUGAAGUGGUGCCAAAUGCAUAGAAGUGAAAACGCGAGCUAUCAAUACUCGACCUGAAGUCGCGUAUUCCUGAGGUCAUGCAUUCUCUUCUAUUUUCUGCAACUUGCCCUGCUUUCACAUAAUUUUUUCAUCUCAAUUCCAACUAUCAAUUUCGGCUAUAUCUGAUCAAGAAAAGUGUGGAAAGUUUGAAAGACAACUCAUAGGAGUUUCAAGAGUCAAAAAUUACAAUUAGAAACAACUCAUUUGGCUCUUGAAUCCUCUAUAAAUAGAGGCCUUUGAAGAACAUUUUCACAACUUUGGAAGGUUAGAGAAACUCCACAAAAACAUAGUCUUCACUAGAAUUUCCUUAGUUCAUUAGUUAGGGUAGUAUAGUAUAGUUAGUGUAGCUUUUCCUUCUUGUAUUUAUAGUUAGGUUUGAAUGAAGAUUCAGGAGCAAAGAUAGAGAGGUUGAUCUCAUGUGACAAGGGUGAUAUCUCUUCUACUACUUUCUCUUUUGUAUUUGAUUUCAUAUUUAACUAUACUACAAAUUUGGCUUUGUUUUUUUUUUUUAUCAUGUUUAGUUAAAGUUUAUGCCUAGAGUAUGGAUGACCUUUCUAUAUCUUGUUUGUGAUAUUUAACUGGUUAUUUGAUGAUGUUAUUUUUGAGCAAGUUAUUUAUCACUUUUGCUUUUCUAAUCGUGAUUAACUGGCCAUUAGUUGUGAUUAUCUAAAAGUGUUAAGUUUGUAAUGAGAAUUGGAGUUUAACACUAGUUCAAGGAAGUGAUAAAUUUAGGGAGUUCACUCAUGAGAGUAGAGGAACACCUUUGUGACCUAAGUGACUUGUUUCAUAUAAUUUCAUAGAAAAAAUGAACUUGUAAUUAAUUUCAUAACCACGAGAGUAAGUAUGGUUUAGCUAUAUGUAUAGUUGAUUCACUACGAGAGUAGGUUUCACAUACAUUAGAAAAUUACAUCAUAACUAGUCAAGAUAAUAUCAUUCAUUUAAUCAGUAAUCUCAUUUGCAUGAGUAGUAAGGCAUUCCAUAUCUCUAGGAGGUUUUUAGUAUUAUUUUCAUUACUUUUAUGUUUAUGGUAGUCUAGAUAAUAAUGGAGUUCAAAAACUACUAGUAAUUGAAAAUUUUCCCUGUGGGAUCGACCUUUAAUACCCUAUACUCGCUCUCGACUCGUAUACUUGCGAAAAAUCACGUGUGCGGUAUUUAGAAUUUAUAAAUGUAAAACUUGACUGUAGAUGAACUAAUUGAUAUAUGUAUACCCCGCACUCGUCAGUAACCAGCUUGUAUUGAUCCCAUUAUUGUGGAUAAUUGUGCUCUUAUGAAAAAAAAUUAUAAAAAAAUUAGCAAAAUUUAUGAUAACAAAUUAAAUUUAUUCAUACAAAUCAGUGAAAGAAGUAGAAUUUUAAAGACCAUGAUGAAAUUAAUACUUUCAAGGGCUCUAUUAGGAAGACUUCACUUGUUGGUGAAACUACACUAGCACAGUUAUAUGCACAUUUACUGUUUUGGUAUCUAAUUUCCUUGCCUUAAGUUGGGUGCAGAUGUUUAUAUUACAAAUAGAUGGUAUCAUAAAAUUGUUGUAUUCACGUUUGUUCUUUUUUUUUCUUCCUUAAGUUUUUUUCUUUAUUCUCGUGACUUCAAAAAUACGAACUCAAGAAAUUGGCUGCUUAAUCAAUAUGUCAUACAGGCUUCGCUAGUGAGGUAUAACUUCACAACUAGAGUCAAUAGAAAUUAUCAAAUGAUUUUUUAACAUCCAAAUUAAGCAAUAAAUUUUGUUUUCAUUUUAUGACAUAUAAUAGUACUACUUCAUGAGAGAUUUUAUAGUUUCUUUUAGGUAUCAUACCUACAAGUGAUAUUUGUCAUUGGAUAGUGACAGAAGUGUUAAUGAUUGUAAGAUUAAAUAUUGUUAAAUAUUGAAAUUUAAACUAUUUAUCUUUAUUGAAAGAUACAAGUUAAAGAAUCGUUCAAGGGGGCAAUUUUCCAUCUUGUCUUUUUGAAAAAACGCUAUCACAUUGUAUAGGCAUGAUAGGUUCAAAUUUGUCAUUAAAUUUAUGAUUGAUUUCCCUUUUAUUCAAGCCAAAUAUUGUUUUAAUUAUCAAAUUCUACUUAUAUUUGGUUAAUUGUACUAAUUGUAGGGCGGUAGAGCAAAAGUUGCUAAAAAUAGGUGAUUUUCUGCAAAUUGGUUGUCAAGGCUGAAGGAUUUGGGAUUCGCAUGUUCAAGGCCUGUUUCCAAGUUUGAUUCAAACUCUGGACAGUUUUAGAGGAAGAUUUGGAAGAUUUGAAAUUUCAUUAUUAGUUUUAUGGUUGAAUUAGGAAUCUUGGAAUAAUUUCUUUUGUGAUUUAUUUUUCUAUUUAGGAGACUAGUUGUUAUUUAGUAGUAGACUUCAAUUAGAAAACAAAGAGAAAAAGAAGGCCGGAAUCCCGCUUGAUUAAUACCUUGGCCAGGGAACAAUCUCGGUGGGGAGGACGGCCACUUAGCCUCUCAAUUCAUCUUGCUUUUCGUUAGUUUGAGAGGAAAACCAAUUGCAACUAGAUUCAAUGGAGUCUGGCAGAAUUUCUUCUAGGAUGCGUAGCUAAAUCCUCAAUUUUUAGUCGAAGGUCAAUUUGAAAAUUCGGUUCCAAAUAUCUGUGAAAUCGAAUUAUUUUACUUAUUUCUUUUAUUUAUUGGUAUUCGCACGUUUUCUGAUUUAACUUUUUAUGAUUGUUUUGUUAUUUGAAUGUCAAGGGUCCGAUAUUCGAAUUAACUUAAUAAUCUACUGCCAAAUUAACCGGUUAAAUCCGUAAUUGUUUGAUUGAUUAAUAUCAGUGGCGACUAGCGUGAUUGGUCCCAUGUUAGGAAAACGUCUGAUCUAAUUUAAACAAACCGUCGUAGCGUGUUUGUUGAUUAGGGUUGGACUUUUCUAAUUCUUAAUUCAAUUGAGAAAUUAAAUCUCCCGGUCGUACCUAAGAUUAUUUUUUUGUUAGCGAAAUAGUUAAUGGUCGUACCUUGACUAUCGAAAAAGUAAGGAAGAGUUGAUUGUUUAUCGCGUGUACGACAACUAUAAUCAAUCUAUUAAUGAGUAAUUGAAUUAUCUUUGCAUCAGUAAUCAGUUGAAUGGACCGUGUCUGAAAAGUUGUACCUUUGGCUAGAGUCUUAUCUGUUGUUGAUUCAUUCAUAUCUAUCUUCAUGCGUUGUUUUAAUUUAGUUAAUUAGUUAUUUUUAUAAAAACCCCUCAUCUCUGGACUCUAAAAGAAAUAAAUUAUUUCUAGUUCCUGUGGAUUCGAUCCUACUCACCGCUAUAUACAAAAUUUGUAUUUUUUUGAAUAAAUAAUUAUUAUUACACAGGCUUGACACCUGUCAAGGCAAAAUUUCCUUAACUUCAUCAUCUGUAGACGUAAACUUUCUACGGGUGAUAUAAUAUAAGGAAAUUUUGCCUAUACGAUGUGAUAGCAUUUUUUCAAAAAAGACAAGAUGGAAAAUUGCUCCCUUGAACGGAAAAAAUCAUGAUCUUUCCUCAAACUAGUCUACUAGUCAAUUCUUUACAAAAGAAUACUCGCUCCUAAACAUAGCCUGUUCAUCUACACUGUCCCGCAGAAUUCUAGAAAGUUAGGCAAAACUAGACAAGUUGACAGGUAUAAUCAUACCCAAGAUCAGGAACAAGCAGUUGCACAUUUCAAAAUUCGCUGCUGCAACAGCUAAUUUGAUGACUUACAACACUACACGGUCAAACUUUGAAUGGCAAUGGAUCUUUUGUUGUACGUCAUGAUGUAAUUUUCAUGUUACAUACAUUAAUAGGUUGAUAUCUAUAUUCUUUAAAUUAUCAUGAUAAUACCCUUAAUUAGAUUUAACUGAUAAAAAGAACACGUGUUAAUAUACAAAAGUGUGUAACGUGAAUGUUACAUUACUGUAUUGCAGAAGACCUAUAGUCUCUUCAUAUCUCUUCCUGCACGUAUCAAUUCGUUUCCUCUAGAUAAUAAUCUCCCAACUCGUUUCUUUACAAAUGCACCUUUUAUGUUUUAUUACCUCCAAAAGCCUUUACAGGGUCUUUACCCUAAAAAUCAAUUCACCGACUCGCAUUUGAUGUCAGAAAUUCUUAAGACGAAUUCUACUUUACUCAAAGAUUGACUGUUAAUAAUGAGACAGCGACCAUUUUGUAUUAUUAGACCGUCCUUCUUGAUAGGUAAAAGAAAUAGAGAGGAAAGUGGGUCCGUAUAUGGUCUUUUAUUCAUAGAUAAUACAACAUUACGCCAUCGAGCAUUCACACAAUAUUUCAAAGUCAUAGCAUGCCUAAGGCCCUGUUUGAUAGCUCAAUUUCGUAAUUAAAUUUAAUAGAUUCAAAUUUUAACACAUUUAAAUCAUUUGAUAACAAAAAAUUGAAUAUUUAAAUUAAUUAAGUAACACUGAACUUUCUAAACAAAACUUGCUUUCAAAAUUAAGUGAUAAGUUAUUCACUUAUCUUUGAAUGUGAUAUGCACUCAAAUAUAUUAAAUUUAAUAAUUUAAUGGAUUCAGAUUUCAGAUUUCAGUUUUAUUACACACCCUAAGUUGCAAAAUAAUACCAAAACUUGUUAUUAUAUAGCUUGAGAUUCAAAAAUUUAGAGCAUAAUUCUCAACCUAACACAAUCGAAUAAUGAAUAUUCACGAUUGUUUCAAAGUACAAUUUGAGGACAACCCAUUCCAACGCGUACACGAUUUUUAACUUUUCUAAAGUUGUUGAGAGCUGUUAAAAGAGAUUUACCAUGUUUACAUCUUCCAAGUCUUGGAAGUGAAAAAUGAAGCCACUGAGUGCUAUAAAAAGGGGGCUAGAGGCUGCCUAGAAGCAUAUCAGCCUAAAACAAGAAUUUGUAGUAACAAUGGGGAGCAAAGCAAAAGCAACGGGGUCUAGGCUGACUCCUCUUCUUACCACUGUUUUAGUGGUAUUUGUCGCCCUUGGCUUGCCCUUGGAAACUGCAGCUGAUUAUUACAAGUAUUCAUCUCCUCCUCCUCCUCCUUACCACUAUUCUUCACCACCACCUCCAGUGUAUUCACCUCCACCAACCCCUGCUUAUAAGUUACCCCCACCAUCUCCUCCAGUUUACAAGUCCUCACCACCACCUUACCACUACUCACCACCUCCGGUGUAUUUACCUCCACCAUCUCCAGUUUACAAGUCACCACCACUACCCCCUCCGGUAUACAACUCCCCGCCUCCACCAGUGUACAAAUACAAGUCCCCACCACCACCUCCUCCAGUUUACAAAUCUCCAUCGCCACCAGUUUACAAAUACAAGUCACUCCCACCACCUCCUCCGGUAUACAAGUCUCCUCCGCCACCUGUUUACGAGUACAAGUCUCCUCCACCACCUCCUCCAGUGUACAAGUCCCCACCACCUCCAGUUUACAAGUACAACUCACCUCCACCUCCUCCCCCAGUUUACCUGUCUCCACCUCCACCCUAUCAUCACUACUACGGUUCUCCUUCUCCUCACCACUACUAAGCAAGUGCAUAAGUUUUGAGGUAAUAAUACCUAUCCAAAACUUUAUCAACACAAACUGCCAUGUAUAUUAUCAUGCUAAGGACGUACACUUGAUCCAUGAAAAUGACUAGUAGAAGAUUUUUUUUAAGAACCAAAGAAAUACAUUAUUUUUUCGGUCUGUUUUCAAGAAUUUGAGCAGUAUACAGAUUAAAGAGUGUUUUUUUUUUUGUAAACUUGCUUGUCAACUUAAAAAUGCACAUAGCUGAAAGCCAACUGAAUAUUUGCAGGCAAAGGAGAAGGCAAUCGGUGUUUGAGACCUUCAAGAAGAUGUAGAAGAAUAAGAAUAAAAGCCCAAUGCGAGGAUGAUUCCAAGUUUCUACGUUACCAUUUCUACAUCUAAAUUGACUUUAGCUCCUGAGUUCCAUGUUUAUGGGGUUUGUACCGUUUUACGUACCAUGCAGUACAUGCUUGCAAGGUUUUCUGUCCUGUUGGCAAACUGCAGGUCCAUAUAAUAAAUGAAUACUAUUUACAUUACGACACUUUUCUCUUUUUCUCUUAUAUUUUGUCUUUAAUAUUGUUGAUCAUUUUUUUUUUAUCAAAAGCAUCAAAUGCUUAGGUAAUUUGGUCUAAUGCUAAUUGUUUUACUUUUAUUUUUCACCUACACCCCUUUUCAACUCAAAGGAUGCUAUAGUUUGUGAUAAUUGUUUAAGACCGAAGCAUGAUACUAAUAAAUAUCUCAUUGAAAGUCAAGGAAACUAACAUUAGGAAAAGUUUAAAUCUUGAUUUGAUGAAACUAUUUAUUCGUGGAAUUUAGAGAUACAAAACUCAAAUUGUGACGGUGUUGUUGCUAAAUUAUUAAGGACAUUAUCACCAUUAUUUUUCCCUGAUCACUAGUUUCAACUGCAAUGAUCUCAAUCUUUUUGUGACUAAUUCUUUCCUUAAUAAUUUAUAAAGACAAAACUCACAAAGAAUAUGUGACUAAUUCUUUCCUUUCGUCUUCUAAAGAAAAUGCCAACUGUUAGUUUAUCAAGGGGAAAAAGGAUCGACAUCAGUUAUUAUUGAAACUAGUAAGGAAUAAAUAAUGGUGAUAAUGUCCUUAAUAAUUUAACAACAGCACCAUCAGAAUUUGACUUUGAGCUUCGGUCUUAAACAAUGAUCACAAACUACAGCAUCCUUUGAGUUGAAAAAGGAAGUAGGUGAAAAGAAAAGUAAAAAAUACAAUUAGCAUUCCCUCAAAUUGUAGAAAGUUAGGUAGCAUUAUAGACAAGUUGAUAGCGGCAAUUUUACAUUUCAAACUUCACCUAUUCAAUAACUAAUUCGAUGGCUUGCUACAUGGUCAAUCUUUGGACCCCUUCCUGCCUCCAGAUAUCCCUUUCCUCAAUCAGGGGCUUCUACAAUUACCAGUUUCAAUUGUAUGGUAUAGUGUAAAUAUCAACAAAUUAGAUGUAGAUGCUAACAUAAUAAAUGUGAAUGCUAAGACAGCAACAUACAAUCGAACCUGCAAUUGUAUGAACCCCAAUCUCGCUUCCUAGUCCACCAUCUUUCUCUAGGUAAUAAUCUCCCUUCUAAUUUAUUCACAAAAUGCACCUUUCAUCACCUCCAAUAGCGUCGACAUGAUCUUUACCCUAGAAGACUAUUCACCGACUCUCAAUUGACGUCAGAAAAUCUAAGAGUAAUUCUACUUUACCCUAAGAUUGAUAUCAACAAGACAAGGACAAUUUAGAAUUAUUACACGCCUCUUCUUAAUAGGAAAAAGAAAUAGAGAAGAAAGUCAGGCCAGGUCUAAUUUCUUUUCAAAGGCAAUACAACAUUACGAAAUCAAGCAUUCAUUCAUACAAAUAUUUCAUAGUCACCGGUUUGCUGAGUAGAAAAAUUUAGACAAAAACUUAAUAUUAUAUUGUUUAAGAGUUAACAAUUUAGAGCUUAAUCUCCUUGUACUUUGGAGUUAACAAUUUAGAGCUUAAUCUCCUUGUACUUUGGACUAAACUUGAACGUGAAAGGAAAUCCCAAAACCAUAUUGGGCAUGAAUUCACACUUAAUAUACCCAAUAAAAGAUGGCGACUGGUGAAAGGCAGUGGAGACUGGUGGAGAGAUUUGAGGAAUAGAAGCAGACGGAAAAGCAACAAAUUUUUGCCGAAAAACGGUCACUUUCAUGGUUAAUUUUGCUACUCUCCAAUUGUACUUGACCAAUUACAACAAUUUCAUGGAGUUUGAUACGUGAAAAGAAUUUUUUAUAAAUUUUAUUUUGAUCCAUAAUGUUAUCUUUACAUAUAUAAAACAUUUUACAAUUUUGAUUUUGGCGCAGCUAACUUUUGGUUAACAAAAAUGCUCAUGUUUAAAAAACCAGAAAUAAAACAAAACAAGAAACAAAAGAAAUAAGAGGGUAGCAUAGACAUUUUGGAUUUUUCCGUUAAUUUGGAUGAUUUCCACCCACGUUCUAAUUUAAUCCAAAACACAAAGGAAUUACGUAGAGGUUUUAAAUAAUGAGGGAGCUUCAUGAUCGAACCCCAAACCACAAGGCGAUUUACUAUAUUUUACUCUUAAAUUUUGGUUUCAUCUCAUAGCAUACAAGAGUUCUAUUUCACUAUCUGUAGACAAAGACUUUCUAUGGUUGAUGUACCAUAGGAAAAAAUCUGCCUAUACAACGUGAUAGCAUUUUUUCAAAAACACAAGAUGGAAAAUUGCCCCUUAAACGGGGAAAUUCAUGAUCUUUCGUCGAACAAAGAAUACUCACGCCUAUUCAAGAUGGAAAAUUGCCCCCUUAAACGUCUAUUUGUCAAUUCUUGAAAAAAGAAUACUCACGCCUAAAACACGGCCUCUUCAUCUGCAGAAUUCUAAAAAGUUAGGUAAACUCUAUAAACAAGUUGAUAGGUACAAUCGUACCCAAGAUCAAGUACAGAUAGUUGUACAUUAACUGCUGCAAUAACUAAUCUGAUGACUUAUAAACAUAUCAUGGUCAAUCGUUGAAUGGUAAUGAGUCUUUUGUUAUGCAUUAGUAUUAGUGUGUACACUCUAAUAGAUUGAUACUUAUACUCUUUAAAUUAUCAUAAUAAUACCCUUAAUUAACUUUAACUCUUAAAAAGAAUACAUGUUAAUACACGAGUGUGUGUAACCUGAAUUGUUACUUAUAAAUUAGUGUGUAAUAGAUAGGGAUGGCAAUGGGGGCGGGUGCCCGCGGGGGGCUCUCGGGGCGGGGGUUGGGGCGGGGGGGAAUUUUUUCCCCCCGUUUAGAAAUGGGGCAGGGGACGGGGGAGUAUACCCCCGCCCCAUCCCCCGCAAAAAAAAAAUUAUAUAUAAUAUGUAAUUUAAUUAGUUAUAAACUUAUGAUAAUGAUAUUAUUAGUUAGAUGUAUUAUAUAAUGUAUAUUAGUGUAUGUAAUAUAAUUAAUAUUAUCAAUUAUAUGAAUAAUUAGACAUGUCUACUAAUAGAAUUUAUGAAUUAGUUAUACUAAAUUUACUAAUACAUUUAUACUAAAUUUCUAAUUACACUUAAUAGAAUAACACUUUUUUCUAAAACAAAAAAGCACAAACACAAUAAUGAAUUAGUGAUUGUAUGAUAGGGUGUAAUUUUACUAUUUAUUUUAUUAUUAAUUUCCCCUAUCACCUGACCUGAUGUGGAUUAAUUGCUGGAUUCUGCUCACUUUUAGUACUUUGUAUUUAUUUCAGGGAGUAGAACGGAAAUUUGAUAACAGGUGCUAAUUUGGCAGAAAAAGAGUCCAGAUGAUAGAGCUUGCCCCAAGGGCAUUUUUGGAAAGGAGAACUUGUGCCCAUCUUGGUAAUUUGGGAGAAAAGGGAAACAGACAAAAUGGGUCUAACAUGGAUUGGAAGCGGCCGCACAGUAGCAGGGAAGAGGGCAGACGUAAAAGCAAUUGCAGGGGGGAAAAGGAGUUUUUUUAGUUUUUAGCUUAGCAUCUGAUUUUCCCUGGGAGACUUUUGUUAAAGAUUUCCUUUUGGCUGAUAUUACGCAUGGCAGAUGGCUUUUAACUUAUUCCUCCAUCUUUGACUUUUCUUCUUUAGCUUGUGGCAGUGGAUUGCUACUUACGAAUGUCAGCACUUAGCCAUUCGUGGCUUUUGAUCUUUUCUUCCUUAGAAAUUCUGAGUAACCUCUUUUCCUUUGUGCGCCAGACGAAGUGAAAACUAUAAACUUUUGUAGUUUUUCUAUUCAUUCAAUAUAUUGAGACGAGUUGGAUUCUACCAAAUUUCAACGGACAUGGCCGCUGGUUUCUCUUCAAUUUUAUAUGGGCUUUGUUCAUCCAACAUGAACUAAUUUCACCACUCUAGUCAAGGAGCAACGAAGGCUCUGAUUUGCCUAAAAAUUGUGAGAUCGUUUUAAUUUAAUCUUUUCCUUUUAUUUAUUGGUAUCCGCACAUUUCUUGAUUGCUAUGCUUAUGGUUAUUUAAUUAAUUGAUUGUCUUGGAUCCAGAUAAUUAAUUGAUCUGAUAGCCUAUUGUCAAUUAGGGCAUUUAAAUCCGUAAUUGUUUAAUUGUCCUGAAAUAGUGACAACUGGCACGAUUAGAUUCGUGCCAGGGGGGAUAUGCGGGCUAAUCUAAAAUAACCCUGGUAGUGUGUUAUUUGGUUAGAAUAGGGCUCCUCUAAUACUAAGGCAAUUGGGGAAUUAAAUUCUACGGGCGUACCUAGGAUUAUUUCUUAAUUAGAGCAGUGAUUAACGGGCGUACCUUGAUCACCGACACAGUAAGGAGGGGUUGACCGUCAUCGCUUGUUUGGCAGUUAUAACCUAUUUAUCAGUAAAUAAUUGGGAUUGCCUUGCAUCAAUGAUCAAUUAGGUGAACCAUUGUUGAAGUUACUUCUUGGUUAGAUCUUUAGUUAAUAUUACCUUGAUUUUGGUGAAUUGCCAUUUGAUUUUUAGUUGCCUACUUUAUUUUAUUUUUAAUUGUUUCCUUGCUUUAAUUGAGUUAGGCCUUUAAUUAUUGUUAUUCUAAGUUUAGUGAAUUGUGGUUUAAUUCCUAAUUAGUUAUUUAUUUUUACUUUCUUAUUUGAAUUUAUUUGCUUGUUAUCAUUCCUACGAAAUCACCCCCCUGUGUUACUUUGGAUUUCUUAAGAAACAAAUAUACCCAAUCCCUGUGGAUACGACCCUACUUGCUCUGUUCACGAAUUCAUAAUUAUUUGUGAAAAGAAAUAACCAUUCCACUCGGGUAUAUCGGAUCAAGCAAAUUCUUCGGGAACAGGGUGAAUCAAGUAACCCAAUGCACACCUAGAGUCCCUGCUCCAGUACUUGGAAUUGGGUUUUGGUCAUUUUAACUGGCAAUUAGGUUUAAUUUUAUUAUUGCACAGGCUGACGACCCUGUCAAUUUUUGGCGCCGUUGCCGGGGACUGGCGUUAUUAUUUGUUUCUUUUUAAAUUCAUUCUUUGUCCUAAUUUUCUGGUUUUCUUCUAGUGUAUGCCUCGAUCUUCUCGUACAGGUAAUUUGAUUUUUGACCCUGAGGUAGAGAAGACCGCAUGUAGAACGAGAAAGGAAACCAGACAGCUCAGAGAAGAGCACUCCAGUGCUACAUCUCAGAGACCCGAGUCAGAAGUUGAACUAACAGAUUCGUUUGGUAACACUUCGAGUGACUCUGACCAGGAGGAAGACACCAUGGCUAAUGCACGAACAUUAAGGGAGUUGGCUGCUCCUGAUUUAACUCAGCAGCCUUUAUGCAUUACUUUCCCCACUUUAAAUGAUAACAUUCCAUUUGAACUAAAAUCUGGUCUGAUUCAGCUUUUACCCUCUUUUCAUGGUUUACCAGGUGAAGAGCCGUAUAAGCAUCUGCAGGAGUUUGAUGUCGUGUGUAAUAGUAUGAAACCCUCGGGAAUCACAGAAGAGCAGAUAAAAAUGAGGGCAUUCCUCUUCUCCUUGAAAGAUUCUGCGAAGGACUGGCUGUACUACCUGUCACCAGGUAGCAUCACCACGUGGGACCAAUUGAAGAAAAAAUUUUUGGAUAAAUAUUUUCCUGCGUCCAGGGCUGCAAGUCUAAGGAAAGAAAUUUGUGGGAUCAAGCAGCAUCCAGGGAAGUCACUUUAUGAGUAUUGGGAACGGUAUAAGAACUUGUUGCGCAGGUGCCCCCAACACCAAAUAAGUGAGCAAUUGAUCAUACAGUAUUUUUAUGAGGGGCUCCUUUUUAGAGACAGGAGCAUCAUUGAUGCCAGGGGGGAGGGUUGGGAUGGGUGGUACGGGGGGAGGGAGUGUAAGCAAGAGGUCUCGGGUUCGAGUCCUCCCGCUUACACACAAAAAAAAAGAUGCUGCAAGUGGAGGGGCACUGGUAAACAAAACCCCUCAGGAAGCACGGGAGUUAAUAGAGGGGAUGGCAGAGAAUUCACAACAAUUCAGUACAAGAGAGGAUGUCCCAAUACGUAAGGUGAAUGAGGUAGAGACACCCUCUAUGCAGCAGCAGCUAACUGAGUUGACCGCGUUUGUUAGGCAACUGGCUGUGAGAAAUGCAUCACAAGCCAGGGUGUGCGGGAUUUGCACUGGUAUGGGUCAUUCUGCAGACAUGUGCCCAAUGAUUCAGGAAGAAACUGCAGAACAGGUGAACAUGGCUGACCACGCGCCCGCGCCAAGGAAGCAGUACGACCCUUACUCAAGCACCUACAACCCCGGGUGGAGAGAUCAUCCCAACCUCAGUUAUGGAGAAAAUAGGCAGCCCAACAUUACACCGAACAGGCAGUCUAACUUUGUGCCAAAUAGGCCACCAGGGUACCAGCAGCAAUAUCAACCCCGACCACCUCCGUCCCCAAGCUCUGGCCCAUCUUUGGAGGAGAUGAUGAAACAAAUGAUGACAACUAUGGCUCAAAAUCAGCAAAUGACGGAGGCAACCAUUAUGCAAAAUCAGCAAAGGACGGACUCCGAAAUGAAGGAUAUAAGGAAUCAGAUAAGUCAAAUGGUCACAACAAUCAACCGUUUGGAUUCCCAGAACCAAGGUAAAUUGCCAUUUCAGCCCGAAUUAAAUUCGAAGAACGUGAGCGCAAUGACCCUAAGGAGCGGGAAAGAAAUUCAGGGGUCUGAACCUGUGAUCCCUAAGGAUAAGGAUGAGGAAAAGAUCGAAAAUGAGCUUGAAAGGGAGGACAGCAAUGGUGCAGAUCUAAAGGUACUUCCUGACCCAAUAAUUACAGCUAAAACUAACCCGCCUCCUUUUCCUAGCAGGUUGGAAAAAUCGAAAAAAGAGGAUAAGGAGAAGGAGAUCUUGGAGGUUUUUCGCAAGGUUGAGAUAAAUAUCCCCCUCUUAGACGCAAUCAGACAAGUACCAAAAUAUGCCAAGUUCCUAAGGGACUUGUGUGUCAACCGAAGGCAGUUGAGGGAAGAUGAACGGGUUAUUGUUGGGGAGAAUGUGUCAGCAGUCCUGCAGAGAAAGCUCCCACCAAAGUGCGGGGACCCAGGUAUGUUUACUAUUCCCUGUAGGAUAGGUAAUACUGUGAUAGAAGGGCCAUGUUGGAUCUGGGAGCAUCAAUUAAUCUCAUACCUAAAUCUAUCUAUGCUUCUCUAAAAUUAGGUCCAUUAAAAGAAACUGGAAUAAUCAUUCAAUUAGUUGACCGAACUAAUGCAUAUCCUGAUGGGUUGGUUGAAGAUGUGUUGGUAAAAGUUAAUGAUUUGAUGUUUCCAGCUGAUUUUUAUGUACUUGAUAUGGAUGAUGAUCACUCCCCUGAUCCCUCACCUCUGUUAUUGGGUAGACCCUUUAUGAGCACAGCACAGACGAAAAUUGAUGUUAAUAAGGGUAUCUUGUUCAUGGAGUUUGAUGGGAAAAUUGUGCAUUUCAAUAUCUUUGAUACUAUGAAAUAUCCCUCAAACUCCAACUUUAGCACAGUUUUCUCUGUGAGUGCUAUUGACCCUGUAGUGCAGGAAGUGUUUGAAACUGAUGGCAGGGAUGAGUUGGAGGUGGCUUUGACCAAGCACCUCGAGUUGGAGACAACUCCUGAGGUGGAAUGGAGCGAGGACCUAAAAUGCACAAUAGGUGCAUUACACUCAUUGCAGUCCACCACGAAAAGGUAUGAAGUCUUACCUAUUUUUACUCCCGAACCUCACCAGAGGGUGUUGCCAUCUGUGGUGCAGGCACCUGUACUAGAAUUUAAACCUCUAUCAGAGCACCUGAAAUAUGCAUAUCUGGGUGAUAAUGAGACACUCCCGGUGAUUAUCUCAUCGACACUGUCAAAAAUCCAGGAGGAGAAACUGAUCCGGGUCCUUAGAGAGCAUAAAGAGGCGAUAGGUUGGACAAUCGCAGAUAUUAAGGGGAUCAGCUCGGCCAUCUGUAUGCACCGGAUUAGACUAGAAGAGGAUGCCAAACCUGUUAGGCAGGCUCAAAGGAGGCUCAACCCCCUAAUGAUGGAAGUUGUAAAGAAAGAAAUUUUAAAAUUGCUAGAUGUGGGGAUUAUUUUUGCAAUAUCAGAUAGCCCUUGGGUAAGCCCGAUCCAGGUAGUCCCAAAGAAGGCAGGGGUGACGGUGGAGGCAAACCAAACGGGUGAGCUCGUGCCAGUGCGCAAACCCACUGGAUGGAGGCAGUGUAUAGACUACCGUAGGCUAAACGCCGUCACCAAAAAGGACCAUUUCCCUCUCCCUUUCAUUGACCAAAUGGUUGAACGUUUAGCUUGUAGAGCUUAUUAUUGCUUUUUGGAUGGAUUUUCAGGAUACUUUCAGAUAGCAAUUGCUCCAGAGGAUCAAGAGAAGACAACCUUCACGUGCCCGUUCGGGACCUUUGCUUAUAGACGAAUGCCAUUUGCGUUGUGCAAUGCACCUGCAACAUUCCAGAGGUGUAUGGUAAGUAUUUUUUCUGAAUAUGUGGAGAAAAUUAUUGAAGUUUUCAUGGACGAUUUCAGUGUGUAUGGUGAUAGUUUUGAUACGUGUUUAGAUAAUCUGAAAUUGAUCCUGAUAAGGUGUAUAGAGACUAAUCUUGUGCUUAAUUGGGAAAAAUGUCAUUUUAUGGUUGAGCACGGGAUAGUCCUGGGUCAUAUUGUAUCGUCUAAGGGCAUAGAAGUUGACAAGGCUAAAAUAGAUAUUAUUUUUGCAUUACCUUACCUCGCGAGUGUGCGGAAGGUGCGUUCUUUUCUUGGACAUGCAGGUUUUUAUCGAAUGUUCAUCAAGGAUUUUUCAAAAAUUGGAGCCCCGUUAUUCCAACUCCUACAAAAGGAUGUGACCUUCGAAUUCGAUGAUAAGUGUGAGGAAGCCUUCAACAAGUUGAAAGAAUUGUUGACCUCACCCCCAAUUAUCCAGCCCCCUGAUUGGAGUCUACCAUUUGAGAUCAUGUGCGAUGCCAGUGAUCAUGCCGUAGGGGCUGUAUUGGGGCAAAGAGUAGGGAAGGCAGCUCACGUCAUCUACUAUGCAUCCCGAGCAUUGAAUGGAGCCCAAUUGAAUUACUCCACUACUGAAAAGAAGCUUCUUGCAGUUAUUUUUGCUUUAGAAAAAUUCAGGUCAUAUUUGCUAGGUGCUAAAGUAAUUGUAUUUUCUGACCAUGCAGCAUUAAGGUACCUAAUGACCAAGAAAGAUGCCAAACUGAGGCUCAUUAGGUGGAUAUUGCUACUGCAGGAAUUUGACCUGGAGAUACGGGAUAAAAGGGGCUCAGAGAAUUUAGUAGCUGACCAUCUGAGUCGUAUACCCGUUGGAGAGGAUAAUGAACCAUUGAGGGAUGCGUUCCCUGAAGAGCACUUAUUUUCUUUAAAUUCUCAGUUGCCUUUGUAUGCCGAUCUGGUCAAUUAUUUGGUAACUGGUAAUUUUCCUGCAGGUUGACCAAAAUCGAAGAGGGAUAAAUUGAAGAGCGACGCCAAGUAUUUUAUUUGGGACGACCCGUACCUAUGGAAGAGGUGUGCAGAUCAAGUGAUGCGGAGAUGUGUAAGUGAAAUGGAAUUUCAAUCGAUUUUAGCUUUUUGUCAUACUUUUGCCUGUGGAGGUCAUUUGGACCCAAGAGAACUGCUCAUAAGGUUUUAGAAAGUGGAUUUUAUUGGCCUUCAUUGUUUAAGGAUGCCUAUGUGUUUUGUAAGUCAUGUGAUCGCUGUCAAAGGGUAGGUAAUAUACCCCGUAGAGAUCAAAUGCCCCAAGUCCCGUUGAUUUUUAUUGAAAUUUUUGAUGUCUGGGGUAUAGAUUUCAUGGGGUCUUUUCCUACUUCAUUUGGUUUUUUAUAUAUUUUGCUGGCAGUUGAUUAUGUGUCUAAAUGGGUGGAGGCUAAGGCCACUCGAACUAAUGACUCGAAAGUAGUUGCAAAUUUUGUCAGGUCUAAUAUUUUUGUGCGAUUUGGAAUGCCUAGUGCUAUUGUCAGUGAUAGGGGAACGCACUUUUGCAACAAAAUCAUAGCUGCGUUGUUUCGCAAGUAUGGUGUACUCCAAUGGGUCUCAACGUCGUACCACCCUCAGACCAAUGGUCAAGCGGAGGUGUCGAAUCGAGAGAUCAAGUCUAUCUUGGAGAAAAUGGUGCGCCCCGAUAGGAAAGACUCGAGUCAAAGGCUGGAGGACGCACUUUGGGCCUAUCGGACGGCGUACAAGACUCCUAUAGGGAUGUCACCGUACAGGUUGGUAUUUGGGAAGCCGUGUCACCUUCCAGUGGAGUUUGAGCACAAAGCUUUUUGGGCGAUAAAGUAAUGCAACAUGAAUUUAGAGGAAGCCGGUGCCCAACGAAAGUUGGAUUUGCAAGAAUUAGAAGAGAUCCGGAACGAGGCUUACGAAAAUGCACUAAUUUAUAAGGAGAGAAGCCGGAUAUUUCAUGAUCAACAAAUUUCAAGAAAAUCCUUUGAAGUUGGUCAGAAGGUCCUACUAUACCAAUCCAGGCUCAAGCUAUUCCCAGGUAAACUACGUUCCCGUUGGAUUGGACCUUUUCUUGUUACUCAUGUUUUUCCAUAUGGUGCAGUUGAAAUCCGGAGCGCUAAAACAGACAACAAAUUUGUGGUGAAUGGACACCGUCUCAAGCAUUACUACGAAGGAUUUUCAGGUGAAAAGGUGGAGACAAUAAGUCUAGACGCGCCACCGUGUCCUAAUCAGUGACAUUUUACUAUGUCUAGCCAAAGACAUUAAAGACAGGCGCUCAUUGGGAGGCAACCCAAUUGUCCCUUUUAAUUAUUUGUUUGAUUUCGUGUGAUAGUUUAAAUAUGUUUUCCUUGAAUUCGACUGAUUUUGGGUUUCAGUUUUCGUUUUUGCUGAAUUGUAGGUGACCUUCAGUCUUGACGCGCCCGCGUGAUGACAUGCAGGAAGCUCACGAUCAGAAUCGUCUGAAAGCUCUCUUGCCCUUUUGACGCACCCGCGUGAUGACGUGCAGGAAGCUCACGAUCAGAAUCGUCUGAAAGCUCUCUUGCCCUCUUGACGUGCCCGCGUCACGUUCGCAGGAAAGGUACGGGUUUCAAAAAUUUAAAGAAAAAAUAAUAAUAAUAAUAAUUUAAAAUUUUGAAAUUAACUUCCGUAAAAAAAAAAAAGAAGAAAAAAAAUUUCACCGUGGCUUAAAUAGAGCCUAAAGAAGAGAAAAAAGAAACAAUUUCUUUCUUUUUUUUUUCUUUUUCUUCUUUCUUCCUUCUUUCUUUCUUUCUUCUUUCUCUUUUCCCUCUCUCUUCUCCCCUGUUUCUUCUCCCCUGUCCGUCGCCCGUGCGCCCCAUCGCUGCUCCACCUCCACACGCACGCCGACGCUGCGAGCCACCUGCGACCCCAGCGCCAGAUCUGGACCAUCGCCGAAACCCGCAGCCUCCGCCACCUCCACCUGAGCUCUGCCUCGCGCGCAACCCAGCUGCUCUGCGCCCGAAGCUCCACCGCCGCCACAGCCUCCCCACGCAGCUCCCUGCUCACGCGGCCACAAGCCCAUUGGAAACGGGACAGAGACUGCCGCCGAGCCACUUGCCCGCGUGACCGCCGCUGUUUUCCACCACCUCCCUCACGCGAGCUCUUUCCCUCUCAGCAGCAAUCCACUUCACAGCGCACCCGCUGCGCGCCGUCGCAGCCCUCGCAGCUCCAGCCCGUCUGGUCUAGUCCGCCGCGCGCACCAACCACCCACGGACGCUACCCCCAUCGCUAACCCACGCGGCCUCCACUCCAGUCUGUCCGCCGCCGCUGCUCGUGUCUCCCUUGCGCACCUCACGCCACCCGCUACUGUCCCCUUCCGUUUGGUUAGCAUCCACGGUGGAGGUAAUUGGAGGUUAUUUUCUCAAUUGUGUGACUUCCGCCUGUGAUACUGGUUGCAUUAUUUUUGCUGGGAAUUGCUACUUCUUUUGGGUUGGGUUCAACUGUGCAAUUAAUUGGCCAACUGGAGCCAUUUGUUGGGAUUUUGGGUGAGCUGAAAUACUGCAUUUGUGUGUUACAUUGGGAGGUUUAUUGGGUACAUUCUAACCGCUGUUUUCCAUUGUUACUCUCGCUGGGGUGUCUAUUAAAUUGCGAUUGAAGUAUUUUGGAUAUUGCAUGUUGAGAUUGAGGUUUCAUUGAAUUUGGCCUACGUUCUGCCCCCAGUGGUACUGGUGGGAAUAUUUUCAAUUGAAUUUGUUACCUCUAGUUGGUUGGCUACAUUAUUAUGGUCGAAUUCCUAAGUUGUCGUCAUUGCAUUUGUUGAUCUUGAUUUGGGGCAUUAACCGGCCAACUGGAGCCAUCUGUGCGUUUUUAGGCGCUAUUAUUGGUUUCUUCUCCCUUAACUUUGUCAACUAUAUUUGGUUGGGUAUUUGGUUGACUGCCACGGACUUGUAACUGUGUUUUGCUUCUAAUUGACCAGUUGCACAGCAGUUUUUUUUUAAUUGAUAGGGUGGUUAUACCUCUGGAUAUUUGUAUCCACUGGUUUGAGGACAUGGUGAGACCAAAAUCCUCCUCUAGGUCUAGGACCCCUAGAACCUCGCAAUCCCAACCCCAAGCCUCUACUCUAGUCAAUACCCCUAUAAAUCAACCUACUGCUCCCGGUGUCCGAACCUGGUUAGGUAGGGGUAGAGGUGCCCACGUGGCUUCCGCCACUCACUUGGGAGGGCAUUUGGAAUUCACUAGAGCCGCCGAUCAGCGACGCUAUGCUCAAGCUUGUGAGCGGCGUAUCAUUCCGUGCAAAUGCGCGGACCACAUUACUAUGGUUUUUCUGGGGAUCCAAGGGGAGGUUGAGCGCAUGUACACCGCCAUUGGAUGGCGCCCCUAUCUGGAUAUUUUCCAGCCAGCCUUUGUCGAGUUGACUAGAGAGUUUUACACCACUUUUAAGUUUGAAUUACCGACUAGGUAUACUGUUGCGACUCCCGAUAUCAUUCACUUCCGUCUCAUGGGCCAGGAAUUCAAUUUCUCUAUCACCCAGUUCAAUCUGGCUUUCGGUUUCAUCACUCGGGAGUAUGCAGAGACUAGGGAAUACGGUGAGAGUGCCUGCGAUUUUGUGGAACCUUUCCUUACCGCCUACCGUGAGGUGUGGGAGGACAUGUCUGUGGACAUGCAGCGUUACGAUCCCUCUCGGUCUCGGAGCUCCUUUCUAGAGGACCCGAGUGCUCGGUAUGUUCAGCGGCUUUUAGCAUAUAGCUACUCGGGCAGAAAGAACAGCUUCGGUAUUAUCUCUCGGCCGGAGCUCUUCUUCCUUUGGUGUAUGAAGAAUGGGUUCAAGGUCAAUUUGGGUUGUUGGUUGGCGGCACAGUUCAAGACCGUCAUGGCAAAGAAGAACAAGCCGUUGAUUCUUGGGUCGUAUAUCACGUACUUGGCGGUCCAGCUAGGCGUUCUGAAUCUACAGGAUCACGAUUUGCACUUGGCCUGCGACAUGGAGUAUCUCACUGCUGACCGGCUAGAGAAGAUGGGGGUUCUGGAGCUUGUCGAUGGCCACUACCGAUUUGUGCCCCCGGGACCGCCCCGCGCCCCGCCUCGCUCUUCCUCCACCCAUUCGGCCCCAGUUGGCGGUGAUCCUGGCCCGUCGACAUCCGCUCAGCUCCCUCCACCAGCAGGGGCUGAAGAUUGGCACCAAAUCAGGACGCAGAUUCAGAAUUUGGACGCCCGGAUGAUUAGCAUCGAGAGCAACGUGGCGGCUAUAUCACAGAAUCUGGCGGCAUUCCUGCAGCACUCGGGUUUCCCGCCCCCAAUCCCACCUCACCCUCCACUAUGACCCGGUUUCAGGGAAGUUUGGUUACUUUCUCCCUCACUUUUGUUGUUUUUUGACACAUUGAGGACAAUGUGUCCUAUAGGUGUGGGGGGGUCUAUAGUCUUUCUAGUUUUUAGUAGUUGUUAGUUUUUAGUUUUUUAGUAGUUUUAGUUUUAUUUCUAGUUGCGUAUUUUCUUUCUUUUCUUAGUGCUUAUUCCCCAUGUGAAAAGAAAAAGAAAACAAAAAAAAAGAGAAAAAAAUGUUGGUUUAUUGACUCUAACUCUACUUUUGCCAAGUUUUUUUUAAAUAAAAAUGUAUCGGGUUAAUGUGGUUGGAUCCAGAAUAUCUCCCUGGUGAAUAUCGGAUUGCUUGGCUCUUUUGAUUUCUGUGUUAAUUUCUCUAGGCAUAGGGAAUGACUGUUGGCAUUUUAAUGUGAACUGGUCCAAUAUUGACUCCAGUUCUCUAUGUUUGGCAAUAAUGAGGCGAGCUGUUCCUAUUUUUGGUUCUUAGUGUUGUUAUUAUGUGUUUUUGGCUUUGUUUGGCUGUGAAUAAUCUGGACUGUACUCCGCUAUGAGUUACUACUGAGUAACCGAGGAUCGGCACCUAAAAGUGUCGAUUCUCGCGUCAAAAGGUGGUACUUUAUAUGAGUACGUGGUCGUAUAGCAGUAGGAGCUGAGUAACCGGGCUCCUUCAUCUAAAAAUGUUGGAGUUCGCGUCAAAAGGCCCCGACGGCUAACGACUAAGUCUUUUUGUGUUAAUUAUUAUUGCUUUGAAAAACAAAAAAAAAAAAGAACGAAAAAAGAGAGAAUAAAUAAUAGGAAGGCUUGCCGGUUUAUGGACUUAAUAUGGAGACUUGUGUGAAUAUUUGGACCAUUAGCUAAUAAAUGUUGUGCGCCAUUCCCUUUUCUUAGAGUAGUUAACCUGGAAAUUGAAGGAAUUUGCAGUUUAGGGGCUAACCGGGGGGGAGGCUUCUUGGAUUUUAAUCACCAAUGCUCGAUAUAUGUUUUUCUCUUGAAGAUCUUGGCAAUAUAGGAGAUUGGACAAUGGCCAUCAUCGAAUUUUGGUGUUCGUUUACUAUUCUUAUGCUUGAGGACAAGCAUGGUUUAGGUGUAGGGGGAAUUGAUAGGGUGUAAUUUUACUAUUUAUUUUAUUAUUAAUUUCUCCUAUCACCUGACCUGAUGUGGAUUAAUUGCUGGAUUCUGCUCACUUUUAGUACUUUGUAUUUAUUUCAGGGAGUAGAACGGAAAUUUGAUAACAGGUGCUAAUUUGGCAGAAAAAAGUCCAGAUGAUAGAGCUUGCCCCAAGGGCAUUUUUGGAAAGGAGAACUUGUGCCCAUCUUGGUAAUUUGGGAGAAAAGGGAAACAGACAAAAUGGGUCUAACAUGGAUUGGAAGCGGCCGCACAGUAGCAGGGAAGAGGGCAGACGUAAAAGCAAUUGCAGGGGGGAAAAGGAGUUUUUUUAGUUUUUAGCUUAGCAUCUGAUUUUCCCUGGGAGACUUUUGUUAAAGAUUUCCUUUUGGCUGAUAUUACGCAUGGCAGAUGGCUUUUAACUUAUUCCUCCAUCUUUGACUUUUCUUCUUUAGCUUGUAGUAGUGGAUUGCUACUUACGAAUGUCAGCACUUAGCCAUUCGUGGCUUUUGAUCUUUUCUUCCUUAGAAAUUCUGAGUAGCCUCUUUUCCUUUGUGCGCCAGACGAAGUGAAAACUAUAAACUUUUGUAGUGUUUCUAUUCAUUCAAUAUAUUGAGACGAGUUGGAUUCUACCAAAUUUCAAUGGACAUGGCCGCUGGUUUCUCUUCAAUUUUAUAUGGGCUUUGUUCAUCGAACAUGAACUAAUUUCACCACUCUAGUCAAGGAACAACGAAGACUCUGGUUCGCCUAAAAAUUGUGAGAUCGUUUUAAUUUAAUCUUUUCCUUUUAUUUAUUGGUAUCCGCACAUUUCUUGAUUGCUAUGCUUAUGGUUAUUUAAUUAAUUGAUUGUCUUGGAUCCAGAUAAUUAAUUGAUCUGAUAGCCUAUUGUCAAUUAGGGCAUUUAAAUCCGUAAUUGUUUAAUUGUCCUGAAAUAGUGACAACUGGCACGAUUAGAUUCGUGCCAGGGGGGAUAUGCGGGCUAAUCUAAAAUAACCCUGGUAGUGUGUUAUUUGGUUAGAAUAGGGCUCCUCUAAUAUGUAAGGCAAUUGGGGAAUUAAAUUCUACGGGCGUACCUAGAAUUAUUUCUUAAUUAGAGUAGUGAUUAACGGGCGUACCUUGAUCACCGACACAGUAAGGAGGGGUUGACUGCCAUCGCUUGUUUGGCAGUUAUAACAUAUUUAUCAGUAAAUAAUUGGGAUUGCCUUGCAUCAAUGAUCAAUUAGAUGAACUAUUGCUGAAGUUACUUCUUGGCUAGAUCUUUAGUUAAUAUUACCUUGAUUUUGGUGAAUUGCCAUUUGAUUUUUAGUUGCCUACUUUAUUUUAUUUUUAAUUGUUUCCUUGCUUUAAUUGAGUUAGGCCUUUAAUUAUUGUUAUUCUAAGUUUAGUGAAUUGUGGUUUAAUUCCUAAUUAGUUAUUUAUUUUUACUUUCUUAUUUGAAUUUAUUUGCUUGUUAUCAUUCCUACGAAAUCACCCCCCUGUGUUACUUUGGAUUUCUUAAGAAACAAAUAUACCCAGUCCCUGUGGAUACGACCCUACUUGCCCUGUCCACGAAUUCAUAAUUAUUUGUGAAAAGAAAUAACCAUUCCACUCGGGUAUAUCGGAUCAAGCAAACUCUUCGGGAACAGGGUGAAUCAAGUAACCCAUUGCACACCUAAAAUCCCUGCUCCAGUACUUGGAAUUGGGUUUUGGUCAUUUUAACUGGCAAUUAAGUUUAAUUUUAUUAUUGCACAGGCUGACGACCCUGUCAUUGUAUUUGUACCAAAAGUGAAAACUUAACUAUUUUAGUUGUAUUUAUUUCAUCAUGUUGGAUUGUAUUCAAAUAAUUUUUGUUUGAUUGUUUUUAUAAGUUUCAAUUGUAAAAUUAAAAUGAAUAAUAACUUGAUGAUGUGUUGAUAUUUUAGUACUUGAUUAUUUAUUAAAAUUUAAUUAUAAUAAAAUUUUAUUAACUCAACGAGAAAAAUUUUAUUAAUCCCGUGGGGGCACCCGCGGGGAAAGCGGGGCGGGGCGAGGGGAGUGGGAGGCGGAGGACGGGGCGGGGGCGGGGGAUGGGGGAGGGGUCCCCCGCCCCAACCCCGCCAUCCCCCGUCCCGUUGUCAUCCCUAGUAAUAGACUGGCAAGCAUUGUGGUGGUCAUUGAGCAACUUAUAGGAGAAAUAGUCCUAUAAGCUGUUCAAUGACCAAUCACAACUUGCUAAUUGGAUGACUAAUAUAGCUCUAGCUGUAAUGUUUUAAUUAAAUUACAUCACUAACGUUGGGAUGACUUUUUAACCAAAAAAAAAAAGCCUUAGUUCAAGCUUUUCCCUUUAUUGUGCAUUUUUUAAAGCAUUUGAAAGGCACUGCAAAUCUGUCAUUUUGGACAUUUUAUUAUUGACUAACAAUGAAAGCCGUGGACGUCUACCCAUAACCAACACAAGAUUAAAUUAAUAUUAGAAAAAAUAAUUGAGUAAUUGGAAAAAAAAAAAAAAGAAGAGUCUAAUUUUCAUUGAAACCCACCGACAAACUAUACGUGUCCAUGGCUUUUGAAUAGUGCAUUCAACGUUUAAUUGUAUGGUCCAGUUCAUUGCAGAUUACAUGGAGUAAAGAUUGCGCUCUUUCCUUUUCACCCCUUUUGGAAUCGAUACUGUGGAGAAUUGGGUUUUUCCCUCCUUUUUUUCUUUUCUUUCCUUCUGUGGUUUGCAAAACAUACGUAAAAAUAUGAAAUCCGAAGCAUUCUUUAAUUGGUAUUAAGUAUUGUUGUUGAAAUUAAAAAGAAAAAAGAAAGAACAACAAAAUUCCCAAUCUGGGUUGAUUGUUGAGCUCUAGAUUGGUUGCAUCGUGCUUCCAUAGAAGCAAGAUUUGUAAAAUCGGAAUCCUACAUAGGAUCGAUUUUAGUUUCACAGGAUCGGAUUGUAAAAUCGUAAGAUCCUACCAAAAGCUCUCAAUUGCAAUUAAAGGUUGCAAUUCUUUAAUAAAUUACAAAUAUACCACAAAUAUUUUCAUUUACUUGCAAAAUGGAGCUUCGUAUUUCACAAAUUUACAAAAAAAUUGUAGGAUCGUACGAUCCUACCGAUCCUACGAUCCUACACGAUCCUACCGAUCCUGCUACGAUUCUAUGCGAUCCUACAAAGAUUAAUAUGAUUUGCGACUCUGCAUACGAUCCGGAUCGAUUUUGGUUAUCCGGAUCGUAGGAUCGUAUGAUCCUACGAUCCGGAUCGCGAUUUUGACAACUAUGCAUAGAAGCUCUCUUAGUGUGAUACACUGCUUUCAAUCAGUUUAACACGGGAAAAAAAAAAAGAGAUGAAAAGCAAAUUUGGUGGAGAUAAUUUCAGAAACCUCCCCUGAAGAUUUUGACUAUUCUACUGGUUUCCCUUCAGAUUUUAAAAAUUACACUAAUCUUCCUUGAAGUUAAUUAUCUUGUAACAUUUAAAUUCAAUCAAUAAUUUAAAAAAUGAUAUUAUGAGAGAGAAAAUAAUAUGAUUUUAUCAUUGCCCCCCAUCUUACUACAUUAUUUAAUUAAUUUAAUAGCAACCCACACAUUAAAGAAAAAUAUUAAAAUUUGUUGUUUAUCAUUAAAGAUCAAAUCGCUUAUAACAUCAAAUAAUAGUAUAUUAUUUAUAUUUUUCACUUAAUAUAAUAUCCAAAUUACUCUUUUCAAUUACAUACCCAUUGUUAGAGAAUCAACAACAAAUAACCAAAAAAUUUGCAACCAAAAUAUUACAAAAAAAAUAAACUUUAACAUCAUAAAUAUUCUUAUCAACAUAUUAAAGUUAGUUACUGAAAUUUUUAUGCUGUUAAACUUCACUCUUUUUGAAUACAGAUUUUUUUGAUUAUUUGUUAUUAAUUAUGUUUGAUGAUGGGUUUAUAAUUGAAAAGAACAAUUUGAAACUUACAUUAAGUAAAAUAUAUAGAGUGAUAUACUAUUUUUUAUAACAUAUGUGAUUCAAUCCUUCUUGAUAGGAUUGGUAAUAGAGGUAGAGGGGGGAGUCGGCUGCAUCCGGUCUUCUUUUCAUAGAUAGUACAAUAUUGCGAAAUCAAUCGCAUUCACACAAUAAUAUUUCGAAGUCAAUGCAUGGCUAAGUUGCAUAAAAGUACGAACACUUGUUAUUAUAUAGCUUAAGAUUCAAAACUUUCGAGCAUAACCCUCCACCCAACACAAUUGAAUAAUGAAUAUUCACGAUUGUCAAAUCUGUCAAAGCACAGUUUGAGGACAACCCAUUCCAACCUGCAAAAGAUUUUUUACUUUUCUAAAGUUGUUGAGAGCUGUAAAAAGACUUACCAUGCUUGCAUCCUCCGAGCCUUGGGAGUUAAAAAUGAAGGCACUGAGUGCUAUAAAAAGGGGAAUAGAGGCUGCCUAGAAGCAUAUCAGCCUAAAACAAGAAUUUGUAGUUAAGAUGGGAAGCAAAGCAAAAGCAAUGGGGUCUGGGCUGACUCCUCUUCUUGCCACUGUUUUAGUGGUGUUUGUUGCUCUUGGCUUGCCCUCACAAACUGCAGCUGAUGAUCACUACAAGUAUUCAUCUCCUCCUCCUCCUUACCACUAUCCCUCACCACCACCACCAGUGCAUAUACCUCCACCUCAUCCUGUUUACAAGUACAAAUCUCCACCACCCCCACCACCACACCCAGUUUACAAGUAUAAGUCACCACCACCACCUCCUCAUCCGGUAUACAAGUAUAAGUCUCCUCCGCCACCACCACACCCAGUUUACAAGUACAAGUCACCACCACCACCUCCUCAUCCGGUACCACACCCAGUUUACAAGUAUAAGUCACCUCCACCACCUCCUCAUCCGGUACCCACAGUUUACAAGUAUAAGUCACCACCACCACCUCCUCAUCCGGUAUACAAGUAUAAGUCUCCUCCGCCACCACCACACCCAGUUUACAAGUAUAAGUCACCACCACCACCUCCUCAUCCGGUGCCACACCCAGUUUACCACUACAAGUCACCACCACCACCUCCUCAUCCGGUACCACACCCAGUUUACCACUACAAGUCACCACCACCUCCUCACCCAGUUUACAAAUACGAGUCUCCACCACCACCAGUUUAUAAGUACAAGUCACCACCACCUCCUCCACCAGUUUACAAGUAUAAAUCUCCUCCACCACCACCACCAGUUUACCACUACAAGUCUCCACCACCUCCUCCCCCAGUUUACAAAUACAAGUCUCCACCACCUCCUCACCACUACUAAGCAAUUGCUUCUGAGGUAAUAACACUUGUUCAAUAUACCCACUUCUGCAUGAUAAAGCAUAUCUCUAUCAACACAAACUGUCAUGUCUAUCAUGCUAAGUGCCUUCACUUCAUCCACCAAAAUGACUGCUAGAAAAUUUUUUUUAUGUUACCAAAGAAAGGCAUCAUUUUUUCCCUCUGUUAUCAAGAACUUGUACAGUAUAUAGAUUAAAGAGUAUUUUUUUAACUAGCUUAUCAACUGAGAAAUGCAUAUAGCUGAUAGCCAGCUGAAUAUUUGCAGGCAAAGGAGAAGGAAACCAUGUUUGAGACCUUCUUGAAGAUGUAGAAGCAUAAGAAUAAAAGCCCAAUGUGAAGAUGAUGAUUUCAAGUUUUUCUACGUUACCAUUUCUUUAUCUAAAUUGGUUGUAGCGCCCAAGUUCCUUUGUUUAUGGGAUUUGUAUCGUUUUACGUACCAUGCAGUACAUGUCAUGUUUGUAAGGUUUUCUAUCCUGCCGGCAAACCGCAGGUUCCAUGUGAUAAAUGAAUACUAUUUAUGUUACGACACUUUUCUCUGUUUCUCUUAUAUUUUGUCUUUAAUAUUCUUAAUCAUAUUUUUAACAAAAAUAUUCAAACACUUAGGCAAUCUGGUCUAAUGCUAAUUGUAUGUUUUACUUUUCUUUUUCACCUGCUCCCCUUUUCAACUCAAAAGGAUGCAAUAGUUUGUGAUCACUGUUUAAGACGGAAGCAUGAUACUAAUGAAUAUCUCAUUGAAACUCAAGGAAACUAACAUUGCGAAAAGUGUAAAUCUUGAUUUGAUGCAACUAUUUAUUCGUGGAAUCUAUAGUUACAAAACUCAAAUUCUGACUGCGCCAUUGAUAAAUUAUUAAUGACGCUAUCAUCAUUAUUUAUCCCUAACUAGUUUCGACUACAACUGAACCCAAUAUUUUCCCCAUGAUAAAAGUUUUUGACUAUUUUACUGGCCUCUCUUCAAAUUUUAAAAAUUACACUAAUCUUCAUUGAGAUUAAUUAUCUUGUAACAUUUAAGUCCAAUUAAUAAUUAAAAAAUGAUAUUAUGAGAGAGAAAAUAAUAUAAUUUUAUCAUUGCCCCCCAUCUUGCUAUAUUAUUUAAUUAAUUUAAUAGCAACCCACACAUUAAAGAAAAAUACUAAAAUUUGCUGCUUUUCAUUAAAGAUCAAAUUGCAUAUGCCAUAAAACAUAGUAUAUCAUUCUAUAUGUUUCACUUAAUGUAAGAUCCCAAUUGUUCUUUUCAAUUACAAACCCAUUGUCAAACAUGAUCAAUAACAAAUAAUCAAAAAAUUUGCAACCAAAAUAUUACAAAAAAAAACUUUAACAUCAUAAAUAUUCUUACCACCUCUAGUGCAUUCACCCUCAUAAAAUAAUUCAAGACCCUACUGUCAUAAAAUGACUGAUCAACUCCUGUAAACCUAAUUUGACAACAUUUAAAUGGAGAACUUUAGCUAAAAGAAUUAUGGUCAAGCUAAAGAAAAAACCAGUUAUUUUCCAACAUAUGCAACCAUUGAUCAGGGGAAAAAAAAAAGCAAAAAGACAUCUUCAAUCAUUUAAUAGCUUACAGGGCAAAUUAACCCUUGAGUGAAAACUGGUUGCUCUAGAAUUAAAAUUUUACCUUAGUUACCCAGGCAACUUUUUUGUUGCCUUUUCUUUUUCUUUUUUGGGUAUAUAGCUCCAGUUUUGCCCCCUCUGUCAAGCUUAUAUAAUUAUUAAGAUAAUAAAAGUGCCUUUAAUAGUAUUAAUAUAUCCAUUGACUUGAGCUGUCAUCGAUCGGUUUGGGCUACUUCGAUUCCAUGAGAACAAAUGGUAAUAAAAGUACUCAGAAAAUGGGGAGUCAUGAAACCCUUUUGUUCUAUUCAUUGCUAAGAUGCUUUUCUCUAUAAAGAGACUUCCUAACGAAAAUACUUUGUAGAUUUCUUUACUCCAAGUGGUGCAUGGAAAAUUAAUAUUUUCAAUUAUCAAAUAAAAUUCCCUUUUUUCGGCGUAGAUUUCAUCCAUCCAGCUGUUAACACAUUCUAUAAAUCCGAAUUGACUAAUCUUUUCGUUUCCAUUUUCCAACUUGCGAAUACGGCAUAUAGUGUCUGCUAAACACUAUAUAUUCUCUGCCAAAUAUGAAUACAUAUCACUUUUCUGAGCAAGUGCAGAGUCAUUAUCAUUUUUAUUCCCACCUAACAAAUUAGGGAUAAAAAAGUUAAUAAUCUUUACAUGCUAUCAGGUCACAAGUUAAUAAUCUUUUAAAGAACAUGUUAAAUUAAUUUAUUGGUAUGAAUAGUAGUCAAAGAAGUAUGUUAAAGUUAGUAAUCUUUAAAAUAAUAUGUUAAAAUCAUUCGUACAAAUUAGUCAGAGAAGUAGCAUAAACACCGCGAUGCAAUUAAUACUUUCAAUCUCAAGGUCUCUAUUAUGGAAAUUUGCAUCGGUCAAUAUACACUUGGCAUAAUAUAAUCUCCCAACUCAUUUCUUUACAAAUGCACCUUUAAUCACCACCAAAAGGUGUGGACAUGAUCUUUACCCUAGAAAACUAUUCACCGACAGGCAAAUUGACGUCAGAAAUACUGAGGAAUUCUAGUUUCCUUCGGGUUCAUGCCAUGUUGUAUCCUUCAACUGUAACUCGAUUUCUAAGCUGUAAUUUGUGACAUAAUAGUCCUUAAACUAUGAAACCCUUCUUACUUAAUUACAAUGGUUAAUACAAUGCCCGUGACUAGACAAGUAUGAAGCAACCAUAACAGAAAAAAAAUCCAAAAUUAGAGAAAAGAAAGAAGUUUCGCGACCACCACCAGUUUACAAGUCACCUCCACCACCUCCUCCAGUUUACAAGUCACCUCCACCACCUUACCAUUAUUCCUCACCACCACCUCCAGUGCAUUCACCCCCACCACCACCAGUUUACAAGUCUCCGCCACCACCUUACCAUUAUUCCUCACCACCACCUCCUGUGCAUGCACCUCCACCACCAAUUUACAAGUCACCUCCUCCAGUUUACAAGUCUCCACCACCACCUUACGAUUAUUCCUCACCACCACCUCCAGUGCAUUCACCCCCACCACCACCAAUUUAUAAGUCUCCCCCACCGCCUCCCCCAGUAUAUAAGUCACCACCACCACCUCCUCCAGUAUACAAAUCACCUCCACCACCUCCUCCAGUUGACAAAUCUCCACCACCACCAAUUUAUAAAUACAAGUCUCCUCCACUACCUCCUCCAGUGUACAAGUCAUCACCACCACCUGCUUACAAGUCUCCACCUCCUCCAGUUUACAGUUCCCCACCACCACCAAUCUACAAGUCUCCACCUCCACCCUACCAUUACUACUACAAUUCUCCUCCUCCUCCUCGUCACUACUAAGCAAUUGUAUCCAAGUUUUUGAGGUAAUAACGCUUAACCAAUAAAUUAACUUUCGCAUGAUAAACCUUAUCUCUAUCAAGACAAACUGCCAUGUGUAUCAUGCCAAAUACGUACACCUAGAUCCAUGAAAAUGAAUGGUAGAAAGUUUUCUUAAGAACCAAGAACAGCAUUAGUAUUCCCUCUGCUUCCAAAAACUUGUGUAUUAAAUAGAUUAAUGAAUUGUUUAACAUGCUCAUCUACUUGAAAAUGCACAAUACCCAUAACCCACUGAAAUUUUUGCAGGAAAAGGGAAAGAGAAUCUGUGUUUGAGAGCUUCAUGAAGAUGUUGAAGAAUAAGAAUAAAAGCCCAAUGCAAGGAUGUUUUCAAGUUUUUCUAUGUUUCCACUUUAAUUUGUAAAUUGAAUUUUGCGACUCAAUUAAUUCCCUGUUUGUGAGGUACGUAUUGUUUUACGUACCAUGCCGUACAUUUUUUUUUUCCAACAAACGGUAUCAUGUUAUAGAUAUUAACACUUGACCUUACAAGGAUUAGUUACAAAAAGGGGAUACUACCCUCAACUCUGUCCUAGCUAAAUCAGUCAGCCAUAUUGGGAAAUUAGUUUCCCAUUCAAUAUCAUGUACAAGCUUCACAGCAUAUUGUGCUAAUUGAUGGCUGAUGUGAUUUUCAGUUCUAGGUAUAAACACAAAAGAACAUUUUUCAAAAGCUAGACUAAGUUCCUGCACAUCUUCUAAGAUAGUUGCAGUCGUGUAGUCAUACUCCUUGCGUUUAGUAAUCUGCUCUACCACUGAUUUGCAGUCUGUAUGGACUAUAAUUUGUGUCCAACCUGCUUGGGUAGCCAUCAGCAGAGCAUUUCUCACAGCCCGAGCUUCCACUUCACUUGCCGAUCCCUUUCCCUGUGUGACAAUUCCUUUUGCUUUCAAAAGCUGUCCUUUCCAAUUUCUUGCUAUAAUCCCUUGUCCGGUCCUGACUCGUUUAGCUGAUAUCGCUGCAUCGGUAUACAGCCUUAUCUCUUCCUUCCUUGGCCGCACUCUCCUGGUAGGUAAGGCAUCAUUCAGCUUCCCUGCGAUCUCCUUCUGGUCUGUACUCCCUACCUGUUCAAACUCAAGCCAUUCCUCCUGUGCUUUCCUUACUAUUUUUACUGGAUCCUGGUUGGCUUGUUCAAAAAAUUUUUUGUUCCUGGCUUUCCAAAUUUGCCAAAGGAUAUUGAUAGUAAGACUAACUCUCUCCUGACCUUGGUUCAGUGCCAGCGAUUGUGUGACUUGUUCCCACCAUAACCAAAAGUUAUAUUGCAUACCCAGUAAUCCAUCCCACCUGACCGGUGCUAGCUUCCACGUUUCCACAGCCUUUUCACAGAAGAAAAACAAAUGCUCAAUAGUUUCCAUAUCUUCACCACAGCAACCACAUCUGCCUUCCCCUCUAUGUAGCCUUUUCGACAUCUGUUCAUUGACUGGCAGACAAUUUUGUAAGCACUUCCACAUGAAGUGUUUUAGUUUGGCCUUCACCUUCAAAUGCCAUAGCUGCUUCCACACAUUUCGUUUUCGUAUCUCCCAACUUGUUUCUGCCUCUUGGCCUGUCCUUGUACCUGCUUUUCCUUCCCGUUGCCUUGCUAAAGCAUAACCAGAUUUCACGCUAUAAAUUCCAGCUUUGGAAUGCCCCCAUACCAACCUAUCCUUUCUUCUUCCUAUACUUGUUGGAAUUCCCUUUAUGUGCUCUGCAUCUUUUGCACAAAACCACUUGAGAAGCAAAUCAUUUUUCCAUUUCCCUUCCUCUAUCAGCUCACUUACCCAUUCCAACUUGCAUCCCACAGGUUGUGUGGUUGAUGCAAAGCCGGUAUCUGAACCAACUAUCCAUCUGUCCCGCCACAUGUUGACUGACUUGCCAUCUCCAAUUCUUUUCCAAAGACCAUCAUACAGAAAGGAGGCUGCACUAUGAAUACUCUUCCAACACCAUGAGGCUGAAGAGACUGGCUUCUUGUCCAUCCAUUUUUCAUCACUCAUAUACUUCGCCUUCAUUACCUUACUUACUAACAAAUUUGGAGCCAUUAAGAAUCUCCAAAUUUGUUUUGCCAGUAAUGCUGUGUUGAAGGCCUCCAAAUCUCUAAAGCCUAAACCUCCUCUUCCCUUAACUUCUAAGAGCUUCUUCCAGCUUGCCCAAUGUACACAGGUACCCUUUUCUCCCUUCCCCCACCAGAAACUCGCUAUUUUACCUGUGAUUUGUCUACACAAACCCCUUGGAAGUCUAAAGCAAGCCAUCACAUAUGUUGGCAUAGCCAUAAUCACUGAUUUGACCAGAAUUUCUUUCCCUCCUUGGCUCAACAGUUUUUGUUUCCAACCUUGCAACUUGUUACUAAUUUUGUUCUGGACAAAUGCAAAGACCUGUGUCUUUGAUCUUCCAAUUGCCAUUGGGAGUCCUAGGUAGGUUCCAUUCCUUGCCUCUUUAAUGUUAUCUAAUACCUCCCUCACUCCAUUCUUCCUUUGAUCAGUGGUAUUUUUGCUAUAGAAGAUAGCUGACUUUUCAAAAUUCACCACCUGUCCGGAUGCUUGACCAUAUCUUUCCAAUAUGCUUUUGACCUUCCUCGCCUCCUGCUUGGUUGCUUGGCAGCAUAGUAGAGAAUCAUCUGCAAAAAAUAGGUGAGAAACCAUCGGACUGUCCUUGCAUAUUUUGAUCCCUGUAAUUUCCUUGUUCAUCAUAGCUUUAUGGAUCAAACAUGAAAGACCUUCAGCGCAUAUAAUAAACAAGUACGGGGAUAGGGGGUCUCCUUGUCUAAGCCCUCUACUCGGUUGAACACAGCCUACCUUUUGCCCAUUUAAGUUGAAGGAGUAAGUCACAGUAGAUAGGCAAGACAUGAUCCAUUUAACAAAAAUUGGACAAAACCCCAUUUUCAUCAUAACUCUCCCCACAUAUUUCCAUUCGACUCUAUCGUAAGCUUUGGACAUGUCCAGUUUAAGAGCCAUAAAUCCUACCCUUCCCUUUCUCCUAUUUUUCAAAAAAUGCAGGAUUUCAUGUGCAACUACUACAUUAUCAAGAAUUUGACGGCCUGGGAUAAAAGCGGAUUGAGAGGGACUAAUACAAUGAUGCAAGACACCUUUCAAUCUAUUAGCUAUGAUUUUAGAAAUGAUUUUAUACAGGACAUUGCACAAGCUAAUAGGUCUAAAAUGCACCACAGAUUCAGGAGUAUCAACUUUAGGAAUCAACGAAAUAAUAGUAUCAUUCACAGCUUUGAGCAAAUGCCCAGUAUGAAAGAAACUCUUAAUAGCUGCUACCACAUCAUCCUUGAUAAUAUCCCAAUAGUGUUGAAAAAAUAGAGGAGACAUACCAUCCGUUCCUGGUGCUUUAUUAGGGUGCAUCGAGAACAAAGCUUUCCUGAUCUCACUUUCCUCCACUUGUCGUAUCAGUUGUCCAUUCAUAUGACUCGAAAUAGUGCUUGGAAUUUCAGCUAGAAUGUCCUCAAAGCAGUCCGGGUUAGUAGUGGUAAAAAGGUCUUUAUAGUACUCACAAAGUUCCUCCUCAAUCUCAUGUUCCUCCUUGCACCAUGUCCCAUCUUUUUUCUGCAAUAUAGUGAUCUUAUUUCUCCUCCUCUUUGCCAUGACCGAAGAAUGGAAAAAAGCUGUAUUCUUGUCCCCUUCUUUGAGCCACUUGUUCCUGGAUUUUUGACUCCAAAACAUCUCUUCCUCUGCAUAAGCUUUAUUCAAUUGUGCUUUUAGUUCAGCCACUUGUACUCUUUUCCCUUCAUCCUUUCUUGCUUUCACUUCAGCCAAUUUCUCCUUUAACACUUUAAUUCUAACCUUUGAGUUUCCCUGCACCUUUUUCCUCCAAUCCAGAAUAGCCAUGCGACAUUCCUUUAUUUUUGUAGCCACUCUAAACAUCCUGGACCCUGACUUCACCUUUGUCCAUGCUCCUUGAAUCACCCUUUUUGCUUCUGGAUUUAGCGUCCAUCGUUGAUCAAAGUAAAAUCUCCGUUUUCUCCUUGUGUUUUCCGGGUUUGUAUCCACAAGAAGCAUUAGAUGAUCAGAGGCUUCAGUAUCUAAAUGAGUACACUGUGCCUUUUCAAAUCUUUGCAGCCAUUCGGUGCUGCAUAAACAUCUAUCCAACCUCUCUUUCACUUCCCCAUCCCCCUCCCAACUAUUGCACCAAAUCCACGGGACCCCUUGAUAACCUAAGUCAACCAGGUUAUUGUCUUUGAUAAACCUGUUGAACUCCCUAAAACAUCUUUCAGCUCUAUCCCUUCCUCCCCACUUCUCCUCACUAGACCUCAAAUCAUUAAAAUCUCCUACAAUGAUCCAGCCAUCCCCCCAGUCCCUCAUCCUGUCCUCUAAAUAUUUCCAUUGUGCUUUUCUAAUGUUACUAUCUGUGCUUGCAUAAACACACACUAGCCCCCAGUAUCCUUUAGUAUCCUUGUCCUCAACUCUAGCACUAAUACACCAAUCAGUACUUACAAUCUGGUCUAAAAUCACCUCAUUGUUCCAGAAUAAUGCUAGACCGCCUGCUUUACCUAUUGAAUUCACAAAAAAGCUAUUGUCAUACUGAAUCUUCCUUUGAACCUUGCCCAUAAACCCUUCCUGAUUCUUAGUUUCACAAAGGAACACCACCUUAGGAGAGUGGAAGUUAGUCACUUCCUUUAGUUGGGGACUUGUCAAGGGGCCUCCUACACCUCGACAAUUCCACACCACAACCUUCAUUUACACUUUGGAGGCUUUCCGGGGCUAGCCUCCAUUUCCCCUAUUGUACUAACAUUUAUUAGAUCCAGUUUCAUAACCUUUACCUUCGGUACAUUAUCAUCAUCCUCCUCUAUCGGUUGUGUUCCCUGAAACAUACCAUCAGCCUUCCUUUUAGCACACGAAACCUGCGUUACUUGUCCAUUUGUAUCUGCCUUUAAGGAUGUUUUAGCCGGCCUCCCUCUUCUUUUAAAACUGCUUCUUUUUUCAGCUUUGUUAUCUUCUUCCCCUGGAGUAGCCUCCUUUCUUGGCAUUCUUGCAUUUGUCUCCUCCUGCUUUAUUGACCCUACCCGCAAACUUUCACAUUCCUGUUUUGAGCUGUCCGUUUCCAUAUCCUCAUAAUCUACUGGUGGGAUUACGCUGCUCCCUCCUUUACUCCCUUCCUGUACCCUACCCUCCUUUUCACCAUUUCCCUCCAUUAAGACCACAGCCAAACUUUCCACCCGUUGGUUUGCCUUUCCAUACUGCCUGCUGUCUUUUAGAAUCUCAUCCCACCUCUCUUCAUAUUGUCUCGUCAUCAUUUUCUCCUUAUCCCCCCUUUCCUUUCCCCCCAAGACUCUACCAUUUUUUCCCCCAAGAGUUAAUGUAUCUCCAGCCAUUUGUACUCCAGUUUGAACUUCACUACUAGGAGACCCUGCCCCCACCCUCCUUGCAUCAAUUUCACUUACUCCUUCCAGCCGUCCCUUUAAGGGAGAUACCAUUAUAUUUCCAGCUCUCAUCCAGGCACCAUAUUGUUCCUCUCGCUUCUCCCCCCCACCCUUCCUACCACAGUACAAGUCCUAUCACUAUGCCCAAUGAUACCACACCUAUAACAGAAAUCAGGGCAGCGUUCAUACCUGAACUCAACCCACACUGCCUGGUUCUUACAGUUGAUCUUUGUCCCUCUAACCAGUGGUUUCGUUAUAUCUACCUCAGCCAUAAUCUUCAUGUGGCGACCCUCUUUCCCACCACUUCCUGGGAGAAUCACUCCCCUCACUGAUUUAAAGAUCCCUCCUAUUUUCAAACCCACUGCUCUGCUCAACCAGUGCACCGGUAGGUUCCAUAGUUGAAUCCAAAGAAAGGAAUGCUGGAAAAAGCUGCUGUUUGUAUCAUACCCCUCUACCCACUCCUUCACUAUCAGCAACUGGUUGUCCAUGACCCAAGGCCCUCCAGAUAAGAUCUUUUUCUUUUCCCCUUCAUCUCCCAGAUGGAAAUGGAAUAAGUUAGGACCUAACUCAGUCACUUUCAUCUUUGAGGGGUAUCCCCAUGCAUGAUUUGUAAAGUUCUUUAACCCCGUAAAGUUGGCAAUUUUUUCACCAAUCAGCUUUCCUACCAGGCUUCCUUGACACUCAGAGACGCCUUCUUCCAGGUCCUCACCACUCAGAUCGACACCUCCUAACUCUGUUUCAGACAAGUCAAAAUUUUGAAAGGCUCUUUCUAAAGCAUCCGCCAUUGCUGUGACGAGAGCUCCUUGAGAAACCAAGCACUAUUUCUGAGCUAUGAGUGACCCACUGACAGACCUGUGAAGAAUUGCAAAGACAGACAAAGCUGUGUUAUCCGUACACACUAAAAACCAACCAGAAAAACAGAGAGGAACUCGACAGAAAAAGCACAGGCACAAGAAGAAACGAAAGAAAAAAGAAAAACCAACAAACCACUAUCCCACUCCCGACCACAUAACAGCAUUAAAGAAAGGGACACAAAUACGACACUCCAACUUCCGAUCACAUGCUCUGACUCAAUGGAUCAUAUCUUGCCCAAAGCGUUUACUCCUCCAACCGAUUCCAAACCACUACAGACAUUGUCUCCCAUUUUGAAGCCGGAAGAAAGGUGGCUUCUGGACAGGGAACAUGAAAGCAAAGGUUGAACUAAAGAUUUGAUUUUAGAUCUGAAAAUUACGCUGUAGGAAAAAGUGCUAUGUGUUUGUACCUCACCCACUCUCCCACACCGAGGAGGGGAACCUCUAAAGUUAGAGAGAGAAGCUCUCAAGUUAGAGAGAAGCUUUGGAAGUUAAUUACCAACGUACCAUGCCGUACAUGUUUGUAAGGAUUUCUAUCCUAUUGGCAAAAGUCGGUUCCAUACAAUUAAUCAAUUCAUUUCACUUCUAUUGGCUCUACUAUUUAUGCAUGUUACGACACUCUUUCCCUUAUAUUUUGCCUUUAAUAUUAUGAGUCAAUAGUAAUAAUGGGCCUUUUUCUUAAAAUUAUACUAUUAUACAUAGGUAGUUUGGUCUAACGCUAAAUUCAUGUUUGUCUUUCUUUUAUUCCCUUUACAUCUCAAAGUAUACUAUAGUUUGUAAUCAUUGUGGUGAUGAUAUUACCAGCUGGUACUUAUAGUUUAAGGCAGAGACAUGAUAUUAACAACUAUCUCAUUGAAACAUAAGUCAAAAUCAUGACAAGUGUGAGUCUUGGUUAAUGCACAAUUUGUUAGUGGAAUUUAUAUUUAUAAAACUCAAAAAAAAUUUUUGACAAUGCUAUUACUAAUUAAUUAAGGACUUCAUUGCUAUAAUUUAUCGCUUACUAAUUUAAACUAUAAAUGAUCUCAAUACUUUUCUCCAUGAUGUCGAUUUCUUUAGACUACGAAAGGGAAAAAUUAGUGACAUAUCCCUUACUGAUUACAACAUCAGCAAAAAUUAGUUAUAAACUUUUCCGGUGGUUUUAAAUCCCUCGGGCACUAAGGUUUUUUGCACAUCGAGUGAAUUAAGGAACAUAGGCAAUUCGUUCUGCAUACCAAGUCCUUGUUUAAGAUGCACGUACUAAAAUGCAUCCACUUCAUUAAUUUGGAAAAUUGCCAUAGUUUUUUUUAAGCAUUUUGAUUUUUUACAUGAUUCAAAAUUUUCUUAUUGGAUACAAUCACUUUGUGUCAAGAACACAUUUUCAAUCAUCUUUUUUAUCUUCUCAAUAAGAAAAUAAAAAUUUAUUCAUGCUUUUCUAACAUAUCCAAUCAUUGAUCUGAAAAAUAAAGAAUUAAAAAAAAAAGACAUUUUCAAUCAUUGCUUACGGGGCAACUUCCCCAUGUGAACCUCAUCAAACAAAGCCAAUAAUAUGAAGGAACAUCUAAAUACACUUUUGCCCUAAAGGCUGGUUGCCUUGGGGUCAAAAUUUAACCUUCGGGAGUAUAAUUACCCGCCAAAUUUAUUAUUUUUUUUAUGGGUAUAUAGUUCCAAUUUUGCCUCCUGUUAAGCUUAUAAAUAUAUUACGACCCAGAAAAUAAAGGAAUCUUGAAUAGUAACAUGUCCAUUGACUUGAGUUGUUAUCAAUUUGGCUACUUCGAUUCCAUGAGGCCAAUCCAAUUCACACUAGCUAGAGAAAAUGGUGAUAAAGGCACUUAGAAAUUUAUAUGUAAUAUUGAUUGGUAGUAACUGAUAAGUAUAUAUUUUACGUGUUUUAAAUAUGUUUUAUUAGUUAGUUUUGGUGUGUUUUAACUACUUUUAUAACUAAUUAACUAGGAAUCUAGUGAAAAUAUGCAUUUUGUGGUUUGAAGUGUAAAAAUUGUAUUUCUAUGGAUUUUAAUGGUGAAAACUUCAUGUUUUUGUAGGUUUAAUGAUUCAAUCAUCAAAUGACAUGAUUUGAGAAGAUAAUUAGAUGAUUGAUGAUGUUUUGAAGUGAUAAAAAGAGAAUACAAAGUGCAAGAGAGGAAAUGCAAUCAAGAAUAAAAGAAGAAAAUUUUUGUAGCUUUGACAUAUUGUCGUAUUUCGGCAAUAUAUUGAGCUACAAUGAUCGGAUUAAGGUGAUUCUUAAACCAUUUGAAGCUAAAAUAUAGAUCUACAUUUGGCAUGAAGGCAUCGAAACCCAUGUCAGUCAUUUUCCUUGUCAAAAUGUUGAAAUACAGAAGUGCAACUCUGUUCUCGAAAGCUAAAACAGAGCUCUGGCUAGUCGAGGGUAUUUUCAUCAUUUCUUAGUCCACAGAGCUCCAAAUGAGAUGAUUCUUAAGGCAUUAGAACCCUAACUCAAAGAGCUACAACUUUCAUAUUUUGUACAAGAGUUAGUUCGGCCUCUAUCAUUAAGAAAAUAGUAGUUGAAGUGGUGCCAAAUGCAUAGAAGUGAAAACGCGAGCUAUCAAUACUCGACCUGAAGUCGCGUAUUCCUGAGGUCAUGCAUUCUCUUCUAUUUUCUGCAACUUGCCCUGCUUUCACAUAACUUUUUCAUCUCAAUUCCAACUAUCAAUUUCGGCUAUAUCUGAUCAAGAAAAGUGUGGAAAGUUUGAAAGACAACUCAUAGGAGUUUCAAGAGUCAAAAAUUACAAUUAGAAACAACUCAUUUGGCUCUUGAAUCCUCUAUAAAUAGAGGCCUUUGAAGAACAUUUUCACAACUUUGGAAGGUUAGAGAAACUCCACAAAAACAUAGUCUUCACUAGAAUUUCCUUAGUUCAUUAGUUAGGGUAGUAUAGUAUAGUUAGUGUAGCUUUUCCUUCUUGUAUUUAUAGUUAGGUUUGAAUGAAGAUUCAGGAGCAAAGAUAGAGAGGUUGAUCUCAUGUGACAAGGGUGAUAUCUCUUCUACUACUUUCUCUUUUGUAUUUGAUUUCAUAUUUAACUAUACUACAAAUUUGGCUUUGUUUUUUUUUUUUUAUCAUGUUUAGUUAAAGUUUAUGCCUAGAGUAUGGAUGACCUUUUUAUAUCUUGUUUGUGAUAUUUAACUGGUUAUUUGAUGAUGUUAUUUUUGAGCAAGUUAUUUAUCACUUUUGCUUUUCUAAUCAUGAUUAACUGGCCAUUAGUUGUGAUUAUCUAAAAGUGUUAAGUUUGUAAUGAGAAUUGGAGUUUAACACUAGUUCAAGGAAGUGAUAAAUUUAGGGAGUUCACUCAUGAGAGUAGAGGAACACCUUUGUGACCUAAGUGACUUGUUUCAUAUAAUUUCAUAGAAAAAAUGAACUUGUAAUUAAUUUCAUAACCACGAGAGUAAGUAUGGUUUAGCUAUAUGUAUAGUUGAUUCACUACGAGAGUAGGUUUCACAUACAUUAGAAAAUUACAUCAUAACUAGUCAAGAUAAUAUCAUUCAUUUAAUCAGUAAUCUCAUUUGCAUGAGUAGUAAGGCAUUCCAUAUCUCUAGGAGGUUUUUAGUAUUAUUUUCAUUACUUUUAUGUUUAUGGUAGUCUAGAUAAUAAUGGAGUUCGAAAACUACUAGUAAUUGAAAAUUUUCCCUGUGGGAUCGACCUUUAAUACCCUAUACUCGCUCUCGACUCGUAUACUUGAGAAAAAUCACGUGUGCGGUAUUUAGAAUUUAUAAAUGUAAAACUUGACUGUAGAUGAACUAAUUGAUAUAUGUAUACCCCGCACUCGUCAGUAACCAGCUUGUAUUGAUCCCACUAUUGUGGAUAAUUGUGCUCUUAUGAAAAAAAAUUAUAAAAAAAUUAGCAAAAUUUAUGAUAACAAAUUAAAUUUAUUCAUACAAAUCAGUGAAAGAAGUAGAAUUUUAAAGUCCAUGAUGAAAUUAAUACUUUCAAGGGCUCUAUUAGGAAGACUUCACUUGUUGGUGAAACUACACUAGCACAGUUAUAUGCACAUUUACUGUUUUGGUAUCUAAUUUCCUUGCCUUAAGUUGGGUGCAGAUGUUUAUAUUACAAAUAGAUGGUAUCAUAAAAUUGUUGUAUUCACGUUUGUUCUUUUUUUUCUUCCUUAAGUUUUUUUCUUUAUUCUCGUGACUUCAAAAAUACGAACUCAAGAAAUUGGCUGCUUAAUCAAUAUGUCAUACAGGCUUCGCUAGUGAGGUAUAACUUCACAACUAGAGUCAAUAGAAAUUAUCAAAUGAUUUUUUAACAUCCAAAUUAAGCAAUAAAUUUUGUUUUCAUUUUAUGACAUAUAAUAGUACUACUUCAUGAGAGAUUUUAUAGUUUCUUUUAGGUAUCAUACCUACAAGUGAUAUUUGUCAUUGGAUAGUGACAGAAGUGUUAAUGAUUGUAAGAUUAAAUAUUGUUAAAUAUUGAAAUUUAAACUAUUUAUCUUUAUUGAAAGAUACAAGUUAAAGAAUCGUUCAAGGGGGCAAUUUUCCAUCUUGUCUUUUUGAAAAAACGCUAUCACAUUGUAUAGGCAUGAUAGGUUCAAAUUUGUCAUUAAAUUUAUGAUUGAUUUUCCUUUUAUUCAAGCCAAAUAUUGUUUUAAUUAUCAAAUUCUACUUAUAUUUGGUUAAUUGUACUAAUUGUAGGGCGGUAGAGCAAAAGUUGCUAAAAAUAGGCGAUUUUCUGCAAAUUGGUUGUCAAGGCUGAAGGAUUUGGGAUUCGCAUGUUCAAGGCCUGUUUCCAAGUUUGAUUCAAACUCUGGACAGUUUUAGAGGAAGAUUUGGAAGAUUUGAAAUUUCAUUAUUAGUUUUAUGGUUGAAUUAGGAAUCUUGGAAUAAUUUCUUUUGUGAUUUAUUUUUCUAUUUAGGAGACUAGUUGUUAUUUAGUAGUAGACUUCAAUUAGAAAACAAAGAGAAAAAGAAGGCCGGAAUCCCGCUUGAUUAAUACCUUGGCCAGGGAACAAUCUCGGUGGGGAGGACGGCCACUUAGCCUCUCAAUUCAUCUUGCUUUUCGUUAGUUUGAGAGGAAAACCAAUUGCAACUAGAUUCAAUGGAGUCUGGCAGAAUUUCUUCUAGGAUGCGUAGCUAAAUCCUCAAUUUUUAGUCGAAGGUCAAUUUGAAAAUUCGGUUCCAAAUAUCUGUGAAAUCGAAUUAUUUUACUUAUUUCUUUUAUUUAUUGGUAUUCGCACGUUUUCUGAUUUAACUUUUUAUGAUUGUUUUGUUAUUUGAAUGUCAAGGGUCCGAUAUUCGAAUUAACUUAAUAAUCUACUGCCAAAUUAACCGGUUAAAUCCGUAAUUGUUUGAUUGAUUAAUAUCAGUGGCGACUAGCGUGAUUGGUCCCAUGUUAGGAAAACGUCUGAUCUAAUUUAAACAAACCGUCGUAGCGUGUUUGUUGAUUAGGGUUGGGCUUUUCUAAUUCUUAAUUCAAUUGAGAAAUUAAAUCCCCCGGUCGUACCUAGGAUUAUUUUUUUGUUAGCGAAAUAGUUAAUGGUCGUACCUUGACUAUCGAAAAAGUAAGGAAGAGUUGAUUGUUUAUCGCGUGUACGACAACUAUAAUCAAUCUAUUAAUGAGUAAUUGAAUUAUCUUUGCAUCAGUAAUCAGUUGAAUGGACCGUGUCUGAAAAGUUGUACCUUUGGCUAGAGUCUUAUCUGUUGUUGAUUCAUUCAUAUCUAUCUUCAUGCGUUGUUUUAAUUUAGUUAAUUAGUUAUUUUUAUAAAAACCCCUCAUCUCUGGACUCUAAAAGAAAUAAAUUAUUUCUAGUUCCUGUGGAUUCGAUCCUACUCACCAUACAAUCCAACCUGCAAUUGUAUGAACCCCAAUCUCGCUUCCUAGUCCACCAUUUUUCUCUAGGUAAUAAUCUCCCUUCUAAUUUCUUCACAAAAUGCACCUUUCAUCACCUCCAAUAGCGUCGACAUGAUCUUUACCCCAGAAGACUAUUCACCGACUCUCAAUUGACGUUAGAAAAUCUAAGAGUAAUUCUACUUUACCCUAAGAUUGAUAUCAACAAGACAAGGACAAUUUAGAAUUAUUACACGCCUCUUCUUAAUAGGAAAAAGAAAUAGAGAAGAAAGUCAGGCCAGGUCUAAUUUCUUUUCAAAGGCAAUACAACAUUACGAAAUCAAGCAUUCAUUCAUACAAAUAUUUCAUAGUCACCGGUUUGCUGAGUAGAAAAAUUUAGACAAAAACUUAAUAUUAUAUUGUUUAAGAGUUAACAAUUUAGAGCUUAAUCUCCUUGUACUUUGGAGUUAACAAUUUAGAGCUUAAUCUCCUUGUACUUUGGACUAAACUUGAACGUGAAAGGAAAUCCCAAAACCAUAUUGGGCAUGAAUUCACACUUAAUAUACCCAAUAAAAGAUGGCGACUGGUGAAAGGCAGUGGAGACUGGUGGAGAGAUUUGAGGAAUAGAAGCAGACGGAAAAGCAACAAAUUUUUGCCGAAAAACGGUCACUUUCAUGGUUAAUUUUGCUACUCUCCAAUUGUACUUGACCAAUUACAACAAUUUCAUGGAGUUUGAUACGUGAAAAGAAUUUUUUAUAAAUUUUAUUUUGAUCCAUAAUGUUAUCUUUACAUAUAUAAAACAUUUUACAAUUUUGAUUUUGGCGCAGUUAACUUUUGGUAAACAAAAAUGCUCAUGUUUAAAAAACCGGAAAUAAAACAAAACAAGAAACAAAAGAAAUAAGAGGGUAGCAUAGACAUUUUGGAUUUUUCCGUUAAUUUGGAUGAUUUCCACCCACGUUCUAAUUUAAUCCAAAACACAAAGGAAUUACGUAGAGGUUUUAAAUAAUGAGGGAGCUUCAUGAUCGAACCCCAAACCACAAGGCGAUUUACUAUAUUUUACUCUUAAAUUUUGGUUUCAUCUCAUAGCAUACAAGAGUUCUAUUUCACUAUCUGUAGACAAAGACUUUCUAUGGUUGAUGUACCAUAGGAAAAAAUCUGCCUAUACAACGUGAUAGCAUUUUUUCAAAAACACAAGAUGGAAAAUUGCCCCCUUAAACGGGGAAAUUCAUGAUCUUUCCUCGAACAAAGAAUACUCACGCCUAUUCAAGAUGGAAAAUUGCCCCCUUAAACGUCUAUUUGUCAAUUCUUGAAAAAAGAAUACUCACGCCUAAAACACGGCCUCUUCAUCUGCAGAAUUCUAAAAAGUUAGGUAAACUCUAUAAACAAGUUGAUAGGUACAAUCGUACCCAAGAUCAAGUACAGAUAGUUGUACAUUCACUGCUGCAAUAACUAAUCUGAUGACUUACAAACAUAUCAUGGUCAAUCGUUGAAUGGUAAUGAGUCUUUUGUUAUGCAUUAGUAUUAGUGUGUACACUCUAAUAGAUUGAUACUUAUACUCUUUAAAUUAUCAUAAUAAUACCCUUAAUUAACUUUAACUCUUAAAAAGAAUACGUGUUAAUACACGAGAGUGUGUAACCUGAAUUGUUACUUAUACAUUAGUGUGUAAUAGAUAGGGAUGGCAAUGGGGGCGGGUGCCCGCAGGCAACCGCCCCGCGGGGGGCUCUCGGGGCGGGGAGGGGGGAAUUUUUUCCCCCCGUUUAGAAACGGGGCAGGGGACGGGGGAGUAUACCCCCGCCCCAUCCCCCGCAAAAAAAAUUAUAUAUAUAUAAUUAUAUAUAAUAUGUAAUUUAAUUAGUUAUAAACUUAUGAUAAUGAUAUUAUUAGUUAGAUGUAUUAUAUAAUGUAUAUUAGUGUAUGUAAUAUAAUUAAUAUUAUCAAUUAUACGAAUAAUUAGACAUGUCUACUAAUAGAAUUUAUUAAUUAGUUAUACUAAAUUUACUAAUACAUUUAUACUAAAUUUCUAAUUACAUUUAAUAGAAUAACACUUUUUUCUAAAAAAAAAAGCACAAACACAAUAAUGAAUUAGUGAUUGUAUUUUUACCAAAAAUGAAAACUUAACUAUUUUAGUUGCAUUUAUUUCAUCAUGUUGGAUUGUAUUCAAAUAAUUUUUGUUUGAUUGUUUUUAUGAGUUUCAAUUGUAAAAUUAAAAUGAAUAAUAACUUGAUGAAUAAUAAUGUCAAUCGUUGAAUGGUGUGUACACUCUAAUAUUAUGCAUUAGUAUUAGUGUGUACACUCUAAUAGAUUGAUACUUAUACUCUUUAAAUUAUCAUAAUAAUACCCUUAAUUAACUUUAACUCUUAAAAAGAAUACGUGUUAAUAACUCUUAACCUGAAUUGUUACUUAUACAUUAGUGUGAAAUAGAACGGCAAGCAUUGAGCAACUUAUAGGAGAAAUAGUCCUAUAAGCUGUUGGAUGACUAAUAUAGCUCUAGCUGUAAUGUUUUAAUUAAAUUACAUCACUAACGUUGGGAUGACUAAUGGUUUAAAAAUAAUUGAGUAAUUGGAAAAAAAAAAAGAGACUAAUUUUCAUUGAAACCCACCGACAAACUAAACGUGUCCAUGGCUUUUGAAUAGUGCAUUCAACGUUUAAUUGUAUAGUCCAGUUCAUUGCAGAUUACAUGGAGUAAAGAUUGUGCUCUUUCCUUUUUCACCCCUUUUGGAAUCGAUACUGUGGAGAAUUGGGUUUUUCCCUUCUUUUUUUCUUUUCUUUCUUUCUGUGCUUUGCAAAACAUAGGUAAAAUUAUGAAAUCCGAAGCAUUCUUUAAUUGGGAUUAAGUAUUGUUCUUGAAAUUAAAAAGAAGAAAGAAAGAACAACAAAAUUCCCUGAUUGGUUGCAUCGUGCUUCCAUAGAAGCUCUCUUAGUGUGAUACACUGCUUUCAAUCAGUUUAACAUGGAAAAAAGAAAGAGAUGAAAAGCAAAUUUGGUGGGGAUAAUUUCAGAAACCUCCCCUGAAGAUUUUGACUAUUCUACUGGUCUCCCUUCAGAUUUUAAAAAUUACACUAAUCUUCCUUGAAGUUAUAACAUUUAAAUUCAAUCAAUAAUUUAAAAAAUGAUAUUAUGAAAGAGAAAAUAAUAUGAUUUUAUCAUUGCCCCCCAUCUUACUACAUUAUUUAAUUAAUUUAAUAGCAACCCACACAUUAAAGAAAAAUAUAAAAUUUGUUAUUUAUCAUUAAAGAUCAAAUCGCUUAUAACAUCAAAUAAUAGUAUAUUAUUUAUAUUUUUCACUUAACAUAAUAUCCAAAUUACUCUUUUCAAUUACAUACUCAUUGUUAGACAAUCAACAACAAAUAACCAAAAAAUUUGCAACCAAAAUAUUACAAAAAAAAAUAAACUUUAACAUCAUAAAUAUUCUUAUCAACAUAUUAAAGUUAGUUACUGAAAUUUUUAUGGUGUUAAACUUCACUCUUUGUAAUAUUUUGGUUACAGAUUUUUUUUGAUUAUUUUUUAUUAAUUAUGUUUGAUGAUGGGUUUGUAAUUGAAAAGAAUAAUUUAAAACUUACAUUAAGUGAAAUAUAUAGAGUGAUAUACUAUUUUUUAUAACAUAUGUGAUUCAAUCCUUCUUGAUAGGAUUGGUAAUAGAGGUAGAGGGGGGAGUCGGCUGCAUCCGGUCUUCUUUUCAUAGAUAGUACAAUAUUGCGAAAUCAAUCGCAUUCACACAAUAAUAUUUCGAAGUCAAUGCAUGGCUAAGUUGCAUAAAAGUACGAACACUUGUUAUUAUAUAGCUUAAGAUUCAAAACUUUAGAGCAUAACCCUCCACCUAACACAAUUGAAUAAUGAAUAUUCACGUUUGUCAAAUCUGUCAAAGCACAGUUUGAGGACAACCCAUUCCAACCUGCAAAAGAUUUUUUACUUUUCUAAAGUUGUUGAGAGCUGUAAAAAGACCUACCAUGCUUACAUCCUCCGAGCCUUGGGAGUUAAAAAUGAAGGCACUGAGUGCUAUAAAAAGGGGGCUAGAGGCUGCCUAGAAGCAUAUCAGCCUAAAACAAGAAUUUGUUGUUAUGAUGGGAAGCAAAGCAAAAGCAAUGGGGUCUGGGCUGACUCCUCUUCUUGCCACUGUUUUAGUGGUAUUUGUUGCUCUUGGCUUGCCCUCAGAAACAGCAGCUGAUGAUCACUACAAGUAUUCAUCUCCUCCUCCUCCUUACCACUAUCCCUCACCACCGCCUCCAGUGCAUUUACCUCCACCAGUGUACAAAUACAAGUCCCCACCACCACCUCAUCAUGUUUACAAGUACAAAUCUCCACCACCCCCACCACCACACCCAGUUUACAAGUAUAAGUCACCACCACCACCUCCUCAUCCGGUACCACACCCAGUUUACAAGUAUAAGUCACCACCACCACCUCCUCAUCCGGUAUACAAGUAUAAGUCUCCUCCGCCACCACCACACCCAGUUUACAAGUAUAAGUCACCACCACCACCUCCUCAUCCGGUACCACACCCAGUUUACAAGUAUAAGUCUCCUCCGCCACCAGUUUACAAAUAUAAGUCUCCUCCACCACCACCUCCAGUGUACAAGUACAAGUCUCCACCAC
rnacentral:lncRNA from 1 species